GACUUUCAAAGCACUUUCAUUGAAAUAAUUCCUUCUACCAUUUGGAAAUUGCACCAUUUGAGACAUCUAUACGGUCGUGGUGUGGUUUCAAGCCAGUCAGUGAUAGAUAAGUGCAGGAAUGGCCCUUUGAGUGUUGACCACCUAACAAACCUCCAAUCGUUAGGUUUAAGAGCAGGCAGUUGGUGCUGUGGUGAAGGCUUGGGAAAAUUAACUGAGCUUAGAGAACUGAUAAUUGAAUGGACCAAAAUGGCACAAACAAAGAACCAUGGAUUUUCCGAGUCAGUAAAAAAGCUAACUGCUCUUCAAUCCUUGCGUUUGUAUACUUUAGGAGCGGAAAUGUUUACCUUGCCGCACCUCAUGCCUUUCUCAGACCACACCUACCUUUACCAUCUAAGUUUAAGAGGAAGGCUCGAAAGGUUCCCUGAUGAAAUUGAAUUCUACCCUCCAAACCUCAUCUCCUUGGAAUUGGAAUGUUGGAAUAUAGAGCAAGACCCAAUGGUGACCCUAGAGAAGCUGCCAAACUUGAGAUUUCUCAUAUUAUCCCUUUGUUACUCUAUGGUAAAGAAGAUGGUCUGUACUUCUGGAGGAUUCCAGCAACUCGAAACCCUUACGCUCUGGGGUUUGAAAGAAUUAGAAGAAUUGAUUGUGGAGGAAGGGGCAAUGCCUGAUCCGAAGGAUUUAGUAAUUGAGACUUGCCCUAAAAUGAAAAGGCUUUCCCAUGGAUUGCUGCAACGAAAAAAUUUGCAGCACCUAAAGUUGUAUGAUUUGUCUCCUGAGUUAAUGGAUGAGCUUUCUCUGAUAGAAGGAGAAGAUCGGGAGAAGAUCUGCCUCGCCACCUCAAUACACGGGUGGAGGCGUACGGCAUCAUGAAGGCUCAGGAGAAGUUUCAUAAAGCGCUACCAGGAAAUGCUUGGACUGUAUUGAAGAGCAUUUCCAAUGCAACAAAUCUUUCUCUACUUGUCUAAGCUCGUCUUUUUCCUUGUUUUUUCUGCUUUUGUGAAACAUACGUGUUUGUGUAAGAUGCUUCCACGUUUUCAAAUAAAGUGAUCAGUCAGUUUAUAAUUGAACCUCAAUGGAGUUCUAAUAAGAGAAAACCAACAUAAUACAUGCAAGAGUAGAAGCCCGUACACUUCUAAAAGCUUGGGAAGUGUUUUUGAAAUCAGUUUUUAAAAAUAAUUUUUUAAUGUUCUCAUAAACAAAAUUAUGUUUGAAAAUUGAAUUCUAAAAAAUAAUUUUUAUUCUCAAAAACAAAAAAAAACAUGUUUGAUUGAGUUAAUAAAAAUAACUUUUAACAACAAAUAAAACAAAAAAAACUUGUUUGGAAGUUGUUAUUGUUGUAUUUUUUUUUGAAGUUGGAUAUUUUCUUUAAUUAACUUGAUGUUAUAAAUCUAUAAAUAAUUUUUACAUUCACAUUUCAUUAAAAAUAAAAAAUGUUCCAUUUUGAAAUUUUUUUGCAUUAGUUUUAAUUUUUUAAACAAAAUAUUACUUUAUAAUAUGUUUGAUUUCAAUAAUUAGUAAAUUAUCCUAUUAAAAUAUCAUAAAUUGGUAAAUAUCAAUGAUUGGAUUUUAUGAAGAUAAAAUUUAUGAUAUCAAACAAUAAUGCAUUAUACUUGGAAACUUAUGAUCUAUUUUUUCUAUUUUGAAUAUAAUUAAUAAUAUAAAAAUUUAGUUAAUAAUGAUAUAUUUAUGAUAAUUUUUUAAAUAUUAUAAUUUUAUUUAAAAUUAAAUUUUAUAUUUAAUUAUUAUAUAAAAGAUAAAAAUUGUUAAAGUAAAUCAAAUUAAUUUAUUUAUAAAAAUUUAUUAAUCUUUACUAUAUAUAUAUAUAACAUAUUGGGAUGAAAACCAAGAUCAAUACCUUUUCAUUUUUUUCCCUCCUCUGUAUCUCCCUGUUCUCUUUUCAGUUCUUUGUCUCCUCUUGUUCUUCUUCCAAGAUCCAAACUUUUAUUCAGGUGAACUAUUUCUCUCUUCUAAAAUCAAAACAUUAUUCAUUAAGGCCAAAAUUCAGAUAUGUGGUUGUUGCAGAGAUUCCUGGUAAGGUUUCAGGUUUUUUUUUUUUUAAUUAUUCUUUUUUAUUUUUUGCAUUCUUAGUCUUUUUUGUGUUCUUGUUUAUGUUUUGUUUUAGUUUUUGGGAAAUCCUAGAAUUUAUGGAGGUUUUGGCUUUGAAAUAUGAUAAAAUCCUGAAAUAUCAAUAUAUAUAUAUAUAUAUAUUGAAACGGAAAUGACCAAAAAAAAAGAAAACCGGAUAAUGUUGAAUUUUUGUGAGACCGAUUUUCCCAUUUUCAUCCCCAAUUUUUUUUUUUUAAUUUUCCCUCAUAGUGCAAAGAAUUUUGCCUUAGUGCAAAGAAGAGGUGAGAACGCACAAAGAACACACUAGAACACUCAUUGAAAACAUGAAAAGCAUUCUAAUUUUUUUAUUUUUUUUGUUCUUAGAACAGUGGCAAAAACACAGUGAUUACCAUUUUUUUUUUUUUUUUGUUAUCUAAAAACCAAGCUUUAGAAAACAUGAAGAACACUUGAGAACAGAAAACAUUCUCUUAUCAAACUUUUUUUUGUUUUUGUUUUUUUUUUUUUUUGUGAUUUUUUGUUCUCAAAAACAAAAAACAAAUUUUGAAAACACUAACCGCACAUGCCCAAACAUUAAGGUUAUGUUUGGUUCCAGAAAAAUACUAAGGAAAGAAAAUAACUGUAAAGGAAAAUGAUUUUUUUAUGUUUGAUUGUCCUAUAAAAAUAUAAAAGAAAAUCAAAUAUAAUUAAAAUUAAUUAAAAUUUUAUGUAUUUUAAAAUUAUUUAAUAUUUAUAUUGAUAAGUUAAAAUAAAUAAAAUGAGUUUGAAGUAACAAAAAUAAUAAUUUAUCAAUUUUUAAUUUAUUUUUUUAUUUUCCUUUUCUUUUUCUUUUCUUUUACUUUUCCUUUGUAUUUUCUUUCCCCUAAAUUUUCCUUCAAAUUUUCUGGAACCAAACAUAGCAUAAAAGCAUUGCAAGAUAAAUAGUUCAAACUCAAAUCAACUCUGAAAAUUUAAACAAUGACAAUUCGUAGCAUGCAACUUAAAAAUGAAGAACAAAAAUUUAUGUAAGUGAAUGGAUUCAAUCUUGUAAUUUAAUUUAAUUUUUUAAUAUUCAAACAAUAGGAACAAUUUAGAAUAACUUAAUGAUAACUUAUAGAUAAAAGAUUGGAAGGUGAAUGGUUAGAUAAGAUAAACUUGGAAGCAUAAUGAUUUUGAUCUAAUAUUAAUAAUUAUAGUAAAUAAUAAGGGAAGUUAUGGUAUGAAAGAGUUUGCUUAUAGGAUAAUUGUUGGAUUUGUUAAAAAAUGGAAAUUUAAUAUUAUUUUUGCAAGCAAACUGGUUAAUGGAUUUUUACUUAUUUAUAAAUUUAUAAAUAUAAAAAUUGAAGACAGAAUAAUGACCAUUAGGGUGGAAAACAAACAAAUUAAAGAAAUAAAAAAGACAAAUAUAAAUUUAUUAUUAACUUAUUUAUUAUAAUAAUAUGUUAAUAUAAAUUUAUUUAUGAUCAUGAAUAUGAAUUUAUUAUUAAACUUUUAUUAUUCAUUUAUUAAUGUAGAGAAUUACUCUUUUAAUGUAAACUCUUUUAUUUAAAUUUUUUUUCUACUAUUUUUUUAAAAUAUUUCAAAAAAAAUUAUGUUUAAAAUUUUUUCUAUUAUAUUUUUGUAAAAUAUUUGAGGUGGGUUGAAAUAAAUUACAAUUCAUGAGUGAUUAUGAAAAUUUUAAAUGCAUUUAUUUAAAAAAUGGUUGUUUGAUGAUAAAUUAUUUUCUUUAAAUAACCAUUACAUAAUUUCAAAUCAAUUAAAAUAAUAUAUAUAAAAUGACAUCAUACAUAAUUUUAUUAAAAUAUGAUAUUGUGGACCCGUAUUUCGGCUCAUGUGUUUUUCACUCAACGACGAACUCGAUUUUUAUUUAAAAAUAAUUUUAUUUAUAAAAAAAAUGAGUUGGAGUAGCUUGUAGACCCCUUCCAAAGACCAAGGGUUUUUCAUUCGUUCUAGGACCAUCUGGGAGGGAAAUUUUUUUCCCUUUUUUUGGGAGUGGGGACCUCUUUCUGGAGGAAAACCGGUUGCAUAGACGGGUGGCAAAGGGCAUGGCUGGCCAUGGUGGUGGUUGAGGAUGACAUCUUCCCUGGGUGAGGCGCAGUGAAGUGAGGAGGGGCUUACGGGGGAAGAUAGAAAACAGAGGGAAGGAAAAAUUUGAGAUGGGGGGUGGGGGGGGGGGGGGGGGGAAAAAAAAUUUCCCAAAAAAACCAAAAAAAAAAACCUGGAACCCCGCCAACCUUUUUUUUAAAAGAAGCCUUUCCAGGAAGGACCCCCGUUUCCCCCCUUUUUCCGUUCCCUAUCCUCCCCCCCCUAUUUUUGGAAAAUAAUGUUUUUUUUUAGUAAGGAAAACCCGGUCCCUCUUUAACCUUCCCUCAACCCCGGAAAAUCCAUAGGAUUUUUGUCCUUGUUUUCCCCCCCCCUUUAAAACCCCAAAAUUACCCCCCCGUUUUUCUAACAAACUAUAGACCCCCCACCCCCCUGCCCCCCCNNNNNNNNNNNNNNNNNNNNNNNNNNNNNNNNNNNNNNNNNNNNNNNNNNNNNNNNNNNNNNNNNNNNNNNNNNNNNNNNNNNNNNNNNNNNNNNNNNNNAAAAAAAAGGGGGGGGGGGGUGGGUGGUGGUUUUUAAAAAAAAAAGGUUUUUUAUUUUUUUUUUGGGAAUUUUGGGGGGAAAAUUUUUUUUUUUUUUUUGGGGAGGGGGGGUUUUUUUUGGGGGAAAAAAGGGUAAAUUAAAGGGGUGGAAAAGGGAAGGGUGGUAAAGGGUGGGGGUAGGAAAUAAAAUUUUUAUUGGGGAGGGGAGAUAAAAGAGAGGAGGGGUUAUGGGGGAAAAAAAAAAAAAAGGGGAAAGAAAAAAUUUGGGGGGGGGGGGGGGGGGGGGGGGGGGGGAUAGAAGAUUUUCUAGAGAGAGCAGAAAAAGAGAGCUUGGAGUCAGGCGAGCUUUUGUUUGAGAGGAGGCUUUUCAGGUAAGGACCCUGUAUUCACCAUUGUUUCUGUUCAUUAUCUUCUCCAUCUUAUUUUUGGAUAUUAUUGUUUGUUUUGAGUAUGGAUAUCAGGUUACAUGUUUAGCUUUCAUUGAUCUCUGGAAUAUCUAUGGAUUUGUUGUCAUUGUUUUAUCAUCUCUUUGAUAUCUCAAAAUUUACACCCCUGUUUUUGUAUGAACUUAUGGUCCCUCAACCCGCUUGCAAGCCCGUGGAUGGAACAAAUAAAUAGGGCUUUUUUUUUUUCUUUCUCUAUACUCUGUUUUAGUAAAAGUUCCUUUCAUGUUUUCUUCUGUCCUUAAUGGAAUUGUUCUUAAGCGUGGUGCAGUUUGGGUUGGACUGAUGGGUUUGGUUCUUUGAACUGUUCAUGGCAUUAUCCGCAUUUGGACCAAGUUACGACUGUUGAGACACAAUGAAGGGAUCCCUGAAGAAGGCAUUACGGUUGAAAAAGUCGAGAAUCCUCCUCUUAUGGAUAUUCCCACUGAAACUGGUUCAAAAGCAGUUGGAAAUUACGCCCUUGAACACGUCAGUGAGCAUGAGGACCAUACCCACAUUCUCAUUACCCUCCAUCCUCUAUUCCACCAUACCCAUUUUUCACCUCCAUCACGCAUGGCACGAGACUUCUUUUUUGCAAAAAACACCCAACAUACCCAUUACCCUAUGUAUCUUUCCACCUCUCAAUACCCACAAAAACCAUUCCCCCAACCGUGCCCAUCACCACUUCCUUAACUGCACCACCAAUCCCCUUUCUCUCUCUAAGUCUUCAUCUCCCAACACCCACUAAACUCAUUUUCUUACUGAUAAUGGAGACACAUCCCUACACCAGCUUAAGAACCUUUGCAUUCGCUGCACCCAAAACGGAGCAGUAUGGUGUUCGUUUGCUGAAAUUCCACAUUUUGGAAAGACAUCAUUACCGGCAUCGAUGGAAUGUGUAUCAUCAAUGAGCUCAUUGCAACUGCCAUUGCCUGUGGCUUUGAUAAGGAGGCCACCAAUGUUGGUGAGAAGAAUGCCACCAGCCACAUGUUGAUUUAUAUGAGGACUAUGCAAUAGGCUAUAUUUCUAGGUCAACCUACCAUGCAUUUUAUAUAUAUAUUGGUUUUCUAAGUGGUAUUUUCCAAGGAAAGUUGUUUGGCAGCCCAUGCACGGCCACUUUUGCAUGCCCCAUUCCUUUCAUUUUAUUUUAUUAUCCUACAUGUCAGAAUCAAGACUCUCAAAGUUUUAGUUUUCAAUUUUUUUUUACUCUAUUUUUUUUAGUUCUUCAAAACUCCGACUCUUGGACGUAAUUUUAAAAAAAAAUUCAAUCUUUAAAUAAUUUUUUCAAAAAUUGGACUUCUGAAUUUAAUUUUCAAUUUAAAAAAUUCCAAGUUUUACAUUCAUUUCUUUAAUCUUUAUUGUUUACAUCAUUAUUAUUAUCUUAUUUACUUACUUACUUAUUUAUUUAUUUAUUUAUUUCCCAAAUUCCAUCUUAAAAAAAAAAAAAGAAAUCUCAAAAUUAUAACUUCCAAAUUUAAUUUUCGAAUCUAAAAAAUUCCACUAUUCAUGUUCAUUCAUUUAAGUAUUAUUUUCGUUAUUAUUAUUAUUAUUUCAUUUAUUUAUUUAUUUCUUUUAAAAAUUUCAAUCAUUAAAGUUCAAUUCUUAAAAAAUAUGACUUCCAAAUUUAAUUUUCAAUCUAAAAAAUUUCACUAUUCACGUUCAUUUGUUUAAAUAUUAUUGUUAUUAUUAUUAUAAUUAUUAUUAUUAUUAUUCCAUAUUUAUUUAUUUAUUUCUUUUAAAAAUUUCAAUUAUUAAAGUUUAAUUCUUCAAAAAUCUGACUUUCAAAUUUAAUUUUAAAUCUAAAAAAUUUCACUAUUCACAUUCAUUCGUUUAAAUAUUAUUUUUGUUAUUAUUAUUAUUAUUAUUCCAUAUUUAUUUAUUUAUUUCUUUAAAAAAAAUUUCCCAUCAUUAAAGUUCUAUUCUUAAAAAAUCUGACUUCCAAAUUUAAUUUUCAACCUAAAAAAUUCCACUAUUCACGUUCAUUCAUUUAAAUAUUAUUUUCGUUGUUAUUAUCAUUAUUUCAUUUAUUUAUUUGUUUAUUUUCUUUAAAAAUUCCAAUCAUUAAAGUUCAAUUCUUCAUAAAUCUGACUUCCAAAUUUAAUUUUCAAUUUAAAAAAUUCCACUAUUCACGUUCAUUCGUUUAAAUAUUAUUUUUGUUAUUAUUAUUAUUAUUUCAUAUUUAUUUAUUUAUUUAUUUUAAAAUUUUCGUAUUUAAACAAUUCUUAAAAAAUAUGACUUCCAAAUCUAAUUUCCAAUCUCAAAAAAUUCCACUAUUUACAUUAAUUUGUUUAAUGAUUAUUUUCGUUAUUAUUAUUAUUCCAUUCAUUUACUUAUUCACUUAUUCAUAUAUUUAAAAUUCCAUCUCUAAAUGAUUUUUCGAAUUUCCAAUCUCUAAAUUCAAUUUCCAAUUUCCAAAAUUCUAACUUUCGUAAUUAUUUAUUCAAUCAUUAUUAUUUUGUCAUUAUUAUUAUUCCAUUCAUUUAUUUAUUCACUUAUUCAUUUAUUUAAAAUUUCGUCUUUAAAUAAUUAUUCAAAAUUCCGAUUUCCAAAUUUAGUUCUCUAAAAUUCCAAUUUUCCUAUCUCCGAACUUCAUUUUCAGUUUCCAAUAUUCUAAUUCUCGCAUUUAUUCAGUUACUCAUUUAUUAUUAUCAUUAUUACUAUUAUCAUUUUAUUCAUUUAUUUCUAAAAAUUCCACUUUCGAAUGAUUUCCAAGAUUUCCAAUUUUUAUAAUUCAAUUUUCAUAGUUUUUACUUCUCAAAUAAUUUUCAAUUAUGAUUUCUUUCAAAAUUUAUCCAAAGUCCCAAUUUUCGUAAUUUAUUUAUUUAUUUUUAAAUCCUAAACUCUCAAAUAAUUGCCAAAAUUUCAAUUUCUUUCAAAUUUAAUUUCCAAAAUUUUCAUUCUUACAUUUAAUUCCUAAAAAUCCAAUUUUCAAAUAAUCUCUAAGAUUUCAAUUUUCAAAUGAAUUUCAAAAAUCCAGUUUUUCCUCGAACAGUUUUAAUUUUUGUUUGGUGAUGCAUGUGAUAUGUGUUGUGUUCUUUAUUGUACACUAACCCCAUUUUUAUGAUAGCACAUUGCUCGUUCAUGGCCUAGGUAUGCAUCCACUCUCAUUCUAGUCAUUUUCUAUGCAUGUUUUGAUUCUCAUACGUACAUGAUCGAUUUGAGUAUCCAUUGAUUUUCCUAUUGAUUGCCACGUCAGCUUCAUUUUAUUAGUAGAGACUCGACUUUAGGGACUUAGAGGGGUGCUACAGUCUUUACCGUACCUUCCUGAUAAGUAAUCUGGCCCUCGAGCCCAAUCCGAUUUUUCACAGACCACAUUUUCCAAAAUAAGGAGUCACACUUAGAGUUUUCUUUCUUAUUUUGUUUACCCUUUUAAAAAUAAAACAAAAUAAUGAUUGGAUAAAUAAUUGUGAAAGUUAGAAUUUUGGAAAUUGGAAAUUGAACUUAGGGAUUGGAAAUUUAAAGAACUAUUUAGAGAUGAAAUUUUAAAUAAACGAACAAAUGAAUAAAUAAAUAAAUAGAAUAACGAAAAUAAUAACGAUUGGAUAAAUAAUUGCGAAAUUUGGAAUUUUAGAAAUUGGAAAAUGAAUUUAAAGAUUGGAAAUUCGAAGGAUUAUUUAGAGAUGAGAUUUUAAAUAUAUGAAUAAGUGAAUAAGUAAAUGAAUGGAAUAAUGAUAAUAACGAAAAUAAUCAUUAAACAAAUGAAUGUGAAUAGUGGAAUUUUUUAAAUUGGAAAUUAGAUUUGGAAGUCAGAUUUUUUAAGAAUUGUUUAAAGACGGAUUUUUUUUAAAAAGAAAUAAAUAAAUGGAAUAAUAAUAAUAAUAACGAAAAUAAUACUUAAACGAAUGAACGUGAAUAGUAAAAUUUUUGAGAUUGAAAAUUAAAUUUGGAAAACGGAAUUUUGAAAAAUUGAACUUCAAUGAUUGGAAUUUUUAAAGGAAAUAAACAAAUAAAUAAAUGAAAUAAUGGUAAUAAUAACAAAAAUAAUAUUUAAACGAAUGAACGUGAAUAGUGAAAUUUUUUAGAUUGAAAAUUAAAUUUGGAAGUCAGAUUUUUUAAGAAUUGAACUUUAAUGAUUGGAAUUUUAAAAAGAAAUAAAUAAAUAAAUAUGGAAUAAUAAUAACAAUAACAAAAAUAAUAUUUAAAUGAAUGAACAUGAAUAGUGGAAUUUUUUAUAUUGAAAGUUAAAUUUGGAAGUCAAAUUUUUGAAGAAUUAAACUUUAAUGAGUGGAAAAUUUAAAAUAAAUAAAUAAAUAUGGAAUAAUAAUAAUAAUAACGAAAAUAAUAUUUAAACGAAUGAAUGUGAAUAGUGGAAUUUUUUAGAUUGAAAAUUAAAUUUAGAAGUUAGAUUUUUGAAGAAUUGAAUUUUAAUGAUUGAAAUUUUUAAAAGAAAGAAAGAAAUAAAUAAAUAGAAUUAUAAUAAUAAUAAUAAAAAUAAUAUUUAAACGAAUGAACGUGAAUAGUGAAAUUUUUGAGAUUGAAAAUUAAAUUUUGAAGUCAGAUUUUUAAAAAAUUGAACUUUAAUGAUUUGAAUUUUUAAAAGAAAUAAUUAAAUAAAUAAAUGGAAUUAUAAUAAUAAUAACGAAAAUAAUAUUUAAACGAAUGAAUGUGAAUUGUGAAAUUUUUAAAAUUGAAAAUUAAAUUCGGAAAUCGGAAUUUUAAGAAUUACUUAAAGGUAGAAUUUUAAAAGUGAAUAAAUAAAAUAAUAAUAAUAACAAAAAGAAUAAUGAGUAAAUAAAUAAAUAUGGAAAUGGGAAAGCUUUAAAAAUUAUUUGAGAGGUGGAAUCAUGAAAGGAAUUUUGGAAAACUGGAGUUAGGAAAACUGUUAAAAUAAUAAGAAAAUAAAUAAAAAGUCAAAAACUUACUGGGCCAUGUGCCAAAGUGACCACACUUAGAGGUGGCCAAAGUGGAAAAAGGUUUUCAAAUGAUGUUUGAACAUCCUGGCAGCCCAAAGAAAAAUAAAACGAAGUGUUGCAACGUGCACAUCAUGAAUUUACAUCUGUGGCCCCACCAUCAACUACAAGAUAUUUCCAAUUGUAAUGCCUUAGAUACUUUCUAGCAUCAUUUAAUGCAACCUCAUAAGAAGUCAAAAUUAUAGGAAAUUUGGGGCUAAUUUUUCUUGGCAUAUACUUCAUUCGUAUUUGAUCUCUUUCUUUCCUAUUGCCGUGGUAGAUUAUUGCAUUUAUUGAGGGCACAAACCUUGCUAUUUCAUUUGCCCAGUUUGAGAGAGUAGGAAGAGGAGCAAUGACCAAUUAGGGGCCAUCUAACCCCUUUCCUAUUUUCCCCACACCGAUCAAAGAGAUAUUUCUGGGCAUUCAAACUCAAUGCUGCAUAAAUGGGAUGAGAACCACAUAGCUAAAAUGCCGCUCAAUAGAAACAGACCAAUAACAAUUUGCCAUUUCACAAAUUCUUCACUCUUUCUUCUCCACAGGAAGAAAGAAAAAAAUAAAAAUAAAAAUACACAAACACUUAUCCCCCUUUUGAGGUUUUCACUGUAAAAAUGCCUCAAUUAAGGUACCUGACAAUUUAGAGACACAGAUGAGCCACAAAUUUCACUGGCACAAUCAAAUCUUCAGGCAAAAACGCAUACAGUUGAAGGAACAUAUAAAGAAAGCAUCAGAUGGAAUAAAAAUAUAGGAAAUUGAGUGCACAAAAGGGGUUACGAAUGUAAAAUUCACAGGCAAGGCAAUCGAUGCAGCGAAGCGAAAUAAAAUAUCAGGAUGAAUUCCGCUGGAAAAGUCGUCAAAUUCAACAAAAACUGAUCUCACCUAAAAGACCACUUUUCAAAGGAAAGCUCGCCUGACUCUGAGCUCUGUUUUUUGCUCCUUCCCGGAAAUCCUCUAUCCCCAAGCUAUCCACCCUCAAACUAGUUUCUUCUCAAGCUCCUCAAAUUUUCCUCCAGGCAAGAUCGCUCCUCCAACCAAGCCCCCGAAAUUUUUUUUGGAAUCCUCUUAAACGCCAGAAAAACCUCCUAUCCUUUCUUCUUUCUUCUUUCUUCUCUCACAAGUCUUCACCUGCUCCCUACUACCACCAUGCUGUCUUUGCCACAUGUCCCAUGCGGCUUGCCCCCUCCAGAAAGAGGUCCCCCCACUUCCAAAAAUGAAAAAAUUUCAAUUCCCAGGUCGUCUGCAAAAGGGGUCUACAGAUAUUAAUUAAUAAAUAAUAUUUAUAAAUAGAUAUAUUAAAUAUGUUAUCUUAUAAUAUGAUUAUAUUAAUAGAAAAUAUGUUGUAAUAUAUUACAAUAGCAUAUUAUCUGUUAUAAAAUAUGAGAUUUUGUACCAUUAUGGUAACUUGUAGAUGAUCAUCCAUAUAUAUAUAUAUUGUAAUUCCCUGUAAAAUGGAAGGACCCAUAAUGAAAUUCUAUUGAGUUUUCUCGUGCAUUUUCAUUAUUUCUUUAUAUAUAUAUUUAUAUUUAUUGUAACUCCCUGUAAAAUGGAGGGACCCCUAAUGAAAUUCUAUUGAGUUUUCUCGUGCAUUUUAUCAUUUCUUUCUAUCUUCUUUUUUCACUUUUAUAACACGUUAUUAGCACGAUAGUCUCUACAAAAGAAAUAGAAAGAUUUUUCUCUCUUCAGAGAAAUAAAAAGACUGUCAUCUUUUUUAUCCCACAAAAAGGUAUGUCAUAAACUUAUAUAAUAAUUUUCUAUUUUAUUUAUAUAUGUGAUAAAAUUACCUUUUGAUUUUCUAUUUCACUUAUUUUAUUUGAAUACAUAAAUAUGUGCAAUCCCUAUAACCAGAAGUUAUGGGGUAAAUUACAAAAUUACAAAAACAUGGCCAGAAGUUAUGUAUAUGAUCCCUAAUUAUCUAUUUUUAAUUAUACGAUAUAACUGGAAGUUAUACCAAACAAUAUUAUAUAGCCAGAAGCUAUAAAAGUAAAUAGUUCAUAACCUGAAGCUAUAUACAAAUCUACAUAGUGAAAAUUCAUAGCCUGAAGCUAUGAAUGAUAUUAUCUUUUGAUUUCUUUUAAUUAUAUUGUAUAACCGAAUGUUAUAAAAAAAAAAAAAAAAUUAUAGCCAAAGGCUAUACAAUAAAUAUUUCAUGACUUGAAGUUAUGUAUAAAUUUAUACAUUUUUGUUACGAUAAAAUAGAAUGUUUAUUAGAAACUACAUUAAAAAUGUUUUCAUGGUCAAAAGCUAUAUAAGCCAUACUUUUUGUACUUAAGGCAGAAAUUUGAAAAUAUUGAUAUUUUAAUUUUGUAUAGCCGGAAGCUAUAUAGAGAAUUUCUAACUACGGUAUAACUAGAAGUUAUACGAACUAAAUUGUCAAUUAAUAAUUUUAUAAAAUUUUAUAGCUAGAAGCUAUAUAGAGAAUAUUUUAUAGUAAUAAAAUUAUGGCUAGAAGUUUUGACAAAUUUAUUCUUUAGAUAAUAUUGCAUUGUUAGCUAAUUUCUUGAAUUCAUAGUAAUUAUUUUACUUUAUGAUAAUAUGAAAAAUGUUUAUCAUGAUCAAUCUAUGUAGAGAAGGAAAGUAUAUAUUCAUAUACAUUCUUAUAAUUAGAAGUUAUAUAAUAAUUUGUAUUUGAUGGCUUGAAGCAACAUGAAAAAUAAUUUGUAUAUUGUUAUAGCCUAAAACUACAUGAAUAAUUAAUUUGCAUAUUUUUAUAGCCCGAAGUUAUAUGAAAAACUUUUAUAUAUUCUUGUAGGCCAAAACUUGAAGCUAUAUGGAAAUUUUUUUGUGUAUAUUUUAUAUCUUGAAAAAAAAAUGUAAAAUAUUUUCAUAGCCUAAAGUUCUAUGAAAGAAAAUAGGUAUUUCAUAUAAAUGAAAACUAUAGAGAUUAUUAUUUUAUAUGUUAUUACAGCUAAAAGCUAUAAAAAAAAACAAAGUUAAUAUUAUAUAAUUUCUCAUAACUAAGAUCUAUGUUGAAUAAUUAAUUUUAUAAUCUUCCAUGGCUAGAAGCCAUAUAGAAAAUUUAUGAUUUGAAGUCAUAUAUGUAAAACAAAAUAUAUGUUAUACAUAAAUAGAGAUUAUUAUAAGUAUUAUGAUAUAAACAUUGUUGUUUCGCUUAUAGCCUAGAUUUACAAGAAUUUUAUAUAUUUUUAUAACUUGAAGUUAUGAAAUAUGAAUUCUUCUUUUUUUAAGAAUUCAAUUAUUGACAUCCUUAAUUUUCUAUGUUUUGCAUUUGAAUGUAUCAUUAGUAUUCUUUCUAUUAGAUAUGAAGGUUUAAAUAUUUAGAUCUAUAAUUUUCAUACUUCAUUUUUUAGUUAAAUUUUUCACAUUCUUUCUAUUAUGAAACAUGAAUACUCAUCAUGUUUCAUGAAAAGGCAUAGUUAAAAUUUUCACAUUUAUUAAUUUAUUUAAAUAUUUUUAGUUUUCUAUUUAGUUUGUUAUUGUAGGUAAUUUCUAUGUCAUUAAAGUAUGAUAGUCCUUUAGUUCUUUAGAAUAAUAUAGAAGAAAGUAUACCCACUAAAAGACUACGAUCCUCUUUUAAGUUCUCUAUAACUAGAUGUAAUUGAGAAUAGUGAGUUUUUCAUUAAUAACCACCAAUAUUUUCUAAUCGGAUUGGAAUUGUUCCCCAAAGUGAAAUCCAACCGAUUAGGAAUACGAUCAUAGAAUAGGAUAUGAUCUAAAUCUAGUAUACAAUAACUUCUUAAUCCAUGAGGGUCAUUGUUUCCCCAAGAAGAAAUUUAGACCAUACCACCAGAAGUGGUGAAAUGAAAUGAAAAAAAAGGGUUAGGUUUGUAGUAUAAGCCUACCAAAGUUGAACAAAAAAUCAUUGUUGAUGCAUACUAGUCAUACGAUCAAGCAUUUCAUUGACUUUUACCAAAAUUAAAAGAAAAAAAAAAAUAGUAAAUAGAAGGUUAACAUAUCUAGAUUAUUAUAACUUUCUUAAGAAAUCCUAAUGAUAAAAUUUACUAAUUGAUUGGUGAUGGAAAAAAUGUUUAUUCUUAUGUAGGAUCUUUACUUUCUCAUGUUGUGUCUUUUUUAUCUAAUAUAGUACAUAUCAUAUUUGCUAAUAAAUGUUUAUGUUUUAUUUACAUAUAGUAUUGAUUGCUUAAUAAGUAUAUUCUAAGAUGUAUAUCUCAUUAUUUGUACAAUAUGUAAUAAUUGAUGUCAUUACCAUAUCAAUUUAUGGAAACUUGAUUGAAAGCUCUUGAAGAGCUUAUAUUAUGUCACUAGUUGAUUGAUGUCAUUACUACAUAUAUGAAUUUAUAAAAACCCGAUUAAAGGCUCUAGACGAGCUCAUACUAUGUUACUAAUGGCACACGAAUCCAUAUGAAUGGUACUUGACAUUCUAUCAAAUCUAGAAGAAUUUGAGAUGACCAACUUGGUCCCCCCAGGGUGAACAAUGAUGCAUCAACUCCUUGAAAUAUCAAAUGGGGAUUCAUUAAAGAACUAGAAGUUUCUUCAACUAGUGACUAGUAUAUUUGAACCUUUGAAGGAUAUUAUUACAUGUUAUGUAAAUUUAUAGUUUAAAGAGACAAUUUCCCACCAUUGGGGGGNNNNNNNNNNNNNNNNNNNNNNNNNNNNNNNNNNNNNNNNNNNNNNNNNNNNNNNNNNNNNNNNNNNNNNNNNNNNNNNNNNNNNNNNNNNNNNNNNNNNNNNNNNNNNNNNNNNNNNNNNNNNNNNNNNNNNNNNNNNNNNNNNNNNNNNNNNNNNNNNNNNNNNNNNNNNNNNNNNNNNNNNNNNNNNNNNNNNNNNNNNNNNNNNNNNNNNNNNNNNNNNNNNNNNNNNNNNNNNNNNNNNNNNNNNNNNNNNNNNNNNNNNNNNNNNNNNNNNNNNNNNNNNNNNNNNNNGGGGGGGGGGGGGCAAGUCAAUUCUAGAAGAAUGGCGAGACAUUACAUGGUAUGUACCUUCUUUGUCUCAUCUGCAUCCCUGUACAAGGUAGUGUGAACUAGAAGUUCAAAGGAUUAUUCAUUUGUAAGGACUUGCAAAUUAGUUACCUAAUGUUUUCACAAAUAUAAAAAAAAGUAACAAAGUCACACAUGUCGACUAUGAAUACCCUGACACAUAUUGAUGUCUCUAAAGGACAAUUGAAAAAUGCCAUAGCAAGUGAAUUAAUACACACUUAAAGCGUGGUAGACCUGUUGGAUCAAAGGAUUUAGUUCCUAAAAAAAAAAAAAAAAAAGGAACAACAUAAGAAAAGUUUGGUACUCUUGAAGAGCUUACAAAUAUGAAAUGGUCAAAUGAUGAAAACCAACUUGGUAAAUAGUUAGCCCUUGAAGAGACACAAAUUGAUCAAAUACCGGCUAAACUCGUUAGCAAAACAAGAGGAAUUUGGACUUGUAGUUCAAACACCUAGAAACAUAAAGCCUAUUGCAUAUAAAUGGAUCUUUGUGAGAAAGUGAAAUGAGAAUAAUAAAAUAGUAAGAUAUAAAGCACAACUUGUUGCUUAAGGUUUCUCUCAAAGACUUGGUAUAAACUAUAAGGAAACUUAUUCCCCUAUAAUGGAUGUAAUCACAUUUUGAUACUUGAUAAGUUUAAUGGUCUUUGAAGGGCUAGAUAUGUGUCUCAUGGAUGUUGCUACAGCUUAUUUAUAUAGGUUUAUAUAUAUAUAUAUAUAUAUAUAUAUAUAUGAAAGUCCUUAAAUGAUUUAAAUUACCUAAAGAAACUAAUCCAAAGCCUCAAAACAUGUACUCAAUCAAACUAAUCUCUAUACAGAUUAAAGCAAUCUAGACGCAUGUGGUAUAAUGGUUUGAGUGAGUAUUUGUUAAAAGAAGGAUAUGUGAAUAAUCCAAUUUGACCAUGUGUUUUUAUCAAGAAAUUGAAAAUUGGGCUUACAAUAAUUGCAGUAUAUGUGGAUGAUUUGAACCUUAUAGGGACUCCUAAAGAGCUCACAAAAACAUCCAAUCAUUUAAAGAAGGGAUUUGAAAUUAAAGAUUUAGGAAAACAAAACAUUGUCUCGGCUUGCAGAUCAAACAUUGUUCAAAUAACAUAUAAGUCCAUCAAUUGACAUAUAUAGAGAAAGUAUUAAAAUGAUUUUAUAUGGAAAAAUCACGUCCACUUGAUUCUCCCAUGGUUGGUCAUUCACUUGAAGUGAAUAAAGACCUGUUUCGUCAUAGAGAAGAAAAUGAAGAAUUGUUUGGUCCAAAAGUACCAUAUCUCAGCGCAAUCGGUGCAAAAUGUAUCUUGCAAAUUGUACUAGACUAGACAUAGCAUUUUCUGUUAACUUGCUUGCAAGAUACAUUUUUGCCCCAACUAGAAGGCAUUGGAACGGGAUUAAACAUAUAUUGCGAUACCUUUGUGGAACAAGUGAUCAUGGCUUAUGUUAUUCAAAAGAAUUAAAAUCGCAAUUGAUUGAGUAUGCUAAUGUAGGAUAUCUUUCAGAUCCCCAUAAAGCUCAAUCCCAAAUGGGAUAUGUCUUUACUUAUGGUGGUACAACAAUAUCUUGAAGAUCAAUCAAGCAAACGAUGGUAGUCAUCUUUUCAAAUCAUUCAGAAAUUCUUGCAAUUCAUGAAGCAAGUCAUGAAUGUAUAUGACUAAGGUCAAUGAUUCAACAUAUUCAAGAAACAUGUGGACUACCUUCCAUAAGAGGCAAUACAACUAAAUUACAUGAAGAUAUUGUUGCUUGUAUUGUAAAAAUUAAAGGAGGAUUCUGAUUACUACUCAAAAAGUGCUAUUUGAUAGCCUUUAAUUAAUCCUUUUUAACACUUUUGAGUAGUAGUUUAGGCCUUUUAACUCAAUUGGCAUGUUAAGGAUCCUUUAAAGCAAUUUUGAUCACUUUGUGUAAGUUUUGGUGCUUUUGAUAGUAUAUUGAUCACCAAAGCAAGUCAAGACUGAGGAGAGCUAUGAGGAAUCUUGGGCAAAGUUUAGAAUUCAUUUGCCAAGAGUGAAUCCGGAUUGCAAGGAGAAAAAGCAAAGAGGAUCAGUCAUGGAGCAUAUUAUUGAUGAUAGUCGUAGCAGCCACUUUUGAAGCACUUUCUGAAGUCCAAAUGAUGCAUGCUAUAUACCAUUUCAAAGCUCAGGAAGUCAACAAUCCAAUACUUCAAACGGUGCGUGAUUCGGAGUUGAAACGAAGAAGUUGCAGCCAUUACAAGUCAAUCACUCUAAAGUGUUGCGGAAUCAGCCUUUUGUUGCGAGAAUUUCGCAGCACUUUUGUACAGUAAGGUGUUUCUCCUUCUGACGAUUCACGAACCAUGCCGCGAGAAGGGAGCUGGGAACCUCAAGGUGGAAGCCAACUUCGCAGCCUGGUGAAGAUAGCUCGGUGUUGCGAAAUAAUUUCGCAGCCCUCUUGGGUGUCUGCGAAAUUUCGCAGACACCAUUUUUCUCCUGCGAAAUGGUUCCUGAAGCCUCCCGACGCUUGCUACCGACAUUGGGAGAUAUUUUCCAUUAGAUUUUUGUUGUCUAAAUCCCAAAAUACUCCUUGUAAACCACCAAUUACAUGAUUCCUUAGUUUUUAAGUUAGUAAAAAGACCAAAUAUCUUUGUAACAAUUAGUUUUAUAUUGGUUUGAUAUAUAUACCUCUCGAGAGCCUGUACUCGGGGAGGAGUUCCUUCUGUAAGAGUUUAGGAAGCAAGUAAAAGGUCUUUUCUUUCUACUGCCUUACCUUCUCACUUUGUAUUUUCAUUUUAUUUCUAAGUUAUGAAUUCUCUGAGGAGUUUUCCCCAGAGAAUGAGUAACUAAACCUCCAAUUCCUUGGAGCUAAGGUUGUCGGGGAAGGUUCCAAGUGCAAGAAUGCAAAGCUCUGUGGUUUUAGCUAGUAAUGAAGAGGAAGUGAAAUCCUUUAGUGAUUUCAAUGUUUUUAGUUAACUUAAAACACCUUGGAGUCACCUGGGCCAACACUUGGUAAGGCAAGUGAUUUCCAACCAUGGAAAUGCACUAGUUUACCCCUUGCGAGCCUCUGGUAGGUGUCUUCAAGGUAGGAUUCUGGAAUUACCAACACUUGGUAAGCUUUUGGACUCCUAGGAGACAUCCAUUAGUUAUCUCUUGCGAGUUUGUGAAGGGAAGUCCAAGGUUAAAGAUCACCUUGAAUGGUAAGUGCUCGUGAGAGGCAUGAACCAUUGCAAGUUGUAUCAGUGAGAGAAUUAAAGUGAAAUCUAAUUGAAGGAGUCUCUGUACAUCACCGGUUAGAGAAUUGACUAUAAGUUGAAUCUCUAAUGCGAGGAAAUGAACCAACUGACCGGAGCUAUGUCUUUUGCAUGAGGAACCACCCCAGUGAACCUAAAUCUCCAAGGAAUGUUUUUUUUCCUAAAUUAUUCCAAACUUCUGUUAAGUUAGUUAGUUUAAGUCUCAACCUUUACCAAUCAAAGUUUGUGUUUUAUUUCUUAAGUUAACCGUGAAAUGAAGCAAGACCAAUUCACUUGGAAUUGGUAUCCUUGAUUGCUUGUUCAUCAUUCCCAGUGAACGAUCCUAGAGCCACUAUACUAUAGUAGCUUUUUAUUUGCUACCCUAGUGUAUGGUGUUAUAGGUAUAAAUUUUGUUGAUCACUUCCUCAAUCAAGGAGCACCAGCUGAACACAAAUCAGCUGAGACACCAAUUGGACAUGAGUCAAAUGGCGCCGUUGCCGGGGAAUGAGUGUCAAGUUCAUUGUGAUACCAUUUUUGAGCACUUGUGAUUUUCAUCACAAGUUGGUAAAGUUUCUUUCACUUUACUAAUUUUCAUUCUUUCUUUGUUUAUUCAUAAUCUAAGUUUAUCUUUUUAAAAUUUAGUCUAGUUUAAUUUUGCUAUUGUAGCCCUGUUUCUCUUGUUGUCCUUUGUUCUUGUUGUCCUCUGUUUUCAUUUUUAGUUGCAGGUAGAUACUAGUUGUGUAUGCCAAAGUGGAUACGAGACAUUGGAGGUAGGCUUAUUAAGUGUGAUACACCUCAGAGAGGAGAAUUUGAAGUAAUCUUGAAUAUCAUGGAGGCUGCACCUGAAGAUCAGCAUAGUCACCAAGGUCGUCAAGACAAUCUCAAUGAAUUCCGAUCAAUGAGGGACCAUAUGCAUCCACCUCGUAUGAGUGCACCAUCAUGUAUAGUGCCCCCUACAGAGCAGCUAGUGAUCAGACCGUAUCUUGUUCCACUUCUACCAACUUUCCAUGGGAUGGAAAGUGAGAAUCCGUAUGCACACAUCAAGGAAUUUGAAGAUGUUUGUAAUACAUUCCAAGAGGGAGGAGCUUCAAUUGAUUUGAUGAGGCUUAAGUUAUUUCCUUUCACUUUAAAGGAUAAGGCCAAAAUUUGGCUUAAUUCUUUAAGGCCAAGGAGUAUCCGCUCUUGGACUGAUUUACAAGCUGAAUUCCUCAAGAAAUUUUUUCCUACUCAUAGAACAAAUGGCUUGAAAAGGCAAAUUUCAAACUUCUCAGCUAAAGAGAAUGAGAAAUUCUAUGAGUGUUGGGAAAGAUACAUGGAAGCUAUAAAUGCUUGUCCUCACCAUGGCUUUGAUACUUGGCUAUUGGUGAGCUAUUUUUAUGAUGGUAUGUCAUCCUCAAUGAAGCAACUCCUCGAGACAAUGUGUGGAGGAGAUUUCAUGAGCAAAAAUCCAGAGGAAGCUAUGGAUUUCUUGAGCUAUGUAGCUGAUGUUUCAAGGGGAUGGGAUGAACCAACUAAAGGAGAAGUGGGAAAGAUGAAGUCUCAGUUGAAUGCUUACAAUGCAAAAGCUGGGAUGUAUAAUUUAAAAGAAGAUGAUGACAUGAAAGCAAAGUUGGCAGCUAUGACAAGAAGAUUGGAGGAGCUGGAGCUGAAAAAAAUACAUGAAGUGCAAGCUGUUGCUGAAGCACCAGUGCAAGUGAAGCUGUGUCCCAAUUGUCAAUCAUUUGAACAUUUGGUUGAGGAGUGCCCUGCAAUUUCAGCUGAAAGGGAAAUGUAUAGAGAUCAAGCAAAUGUUGUUGGACAAUUUAGGCCCAAUAACAAUGCUCCUUAUGGAAAUACCUACAAUUCAAGUUGGAGGAAUCAUCCAAAUUUCUCAUGGAAGGCCAGAGCAACUCAAUACCAACAGCCGGAUCCACCAUCUCAGCAAUCUUCAAGUAUUGAACAAGCAAUAGCCAAUCUCAGCAAGGUAAUGGGAGAUUUUAUUGAAAAGCAAGAAGCCACUAAUGCUCAACUCGAUCAAAGGAUUGACAGGGUGGAGAGUAUGUUGAAUAAAAGAAUGGAUGGAAUGCAAAAUGAUAUGAACCAAAAGUUUGAUAACAUCCAAUAUUCAAUUUCAAGGCUUACAAAUUUGAAUACACUGCAAGAAAAAGGAAGAUUUCCUUCUCAACCUCACCAAAAUCCCAAAGGUGUCCAUGAAGUGGAAAGCCAUGAGGGAGAAUCAUCACAGGUGAAAGAUGUGAAAGCUUUGAUCACUCUAAGGAGUGGUAAAAAGAUUGAGCAGCCAACACCCAAGCCACAUGUUGAAAAAGAAGAAGAGAUAAAGAAAGGGAAGGAAAUGGAAGAUAAAGAGAGUGAGAUCAGUGAAGAAAAGAAGGACUCUGAUUCAACAAUCAAAGCAAUUCCAGAGAAAGAGCUUCUGAAGGAAGAAAUGCUGAAGAAAUCAACUUCUCCACCUUUUCCUCAAGCAUUACAGGGGAAAAAGGGGGUUAGAAAUGCAGCUGAAAUCCUUGAAGUCUUGAGGCAAGUGAAAGUUAAUAUUCCACUGCUGGAUAUGAUCAAACAAGUUCCAACGUAUGCAAAAUUCCUUAAGGACUUGUGUACUAUCAAAAGAGGGUUGACUGUAAAUAAGAAAGCCUUCUUGACUGAGCAAGUAAGUGCAAUCUUACAGUGUAAGUCUCCUUUGAAGUACAAAGACCCUGGAAGUCCCACCAUUUCAGUCAUGAUUGGAGGAAAGGUAGUGGAGAAAGCCUUGCUAGACUUGGGAGCAAGUGUGAAUUUGCUUCCAUACUCUGUCUACAAGCAACUGGGACUUGGAGAGUUGAAGCCAACAGCAAUCACUUUAUCUCUGGCAGAUAGAUCAGUGAAAAUUCCAAGAGGGGUAAUUGAGGAUGUAUUGGUUCAAGUAGAUAAUUUCUACUAUCCAGUCGAUUUUAUUGUUCUUGAUACAGAUCCUACUGUAAAGGAAGCUAAUUUAGUUCCUAUCAUCCUUGGAAGGCCAUUUCUUGCAACUUCAAAUGCAAUCAUUAAUUGUAGAAAUGGGCUUAUGCAACUCACUUUUGGUAAUAUGACACUGGAUCUAAAUAUUUUCUAUAUGUCUAAAAAGCAUAUCACUCCGGAAGAAGAAGAAGGUCCAGAAGAGCUAUGUAUUAUUGACACUUUGGUGGAGGAGCACUGCAAUCAACAUAUGCAAGACAAGUUGAAUGAAAGUCUUGAGGAUAUUGAGGAAGGAUUUUCUGAAUCUCCUAUUGGGCUUGCUACUCUACAAAGUUGGAAAAAGGUAGAAGAGAUUCUACCUUUGUUCAAUAAGGAAGAGGAGGCAGCUGUUGAAAAAGAAAUUCCAAAACUCAAUCUGAAGCCUUUACCUGUGGAGCUGAAAUAUACAUAUCUUGAAGAAAAUAAUCAAUGUCCUGUUGUGAUAUCUUCAUCUCUGACCAGUCAUCAAGAGAAUUGUUUAAUGGAAGUUCUCAAGAGGUGUAAGAAAGCAAUAGGAUGGCAAAUAUCUGACUUGAAAGGCAUUAGUCCUUUAGUUUGUACUCAUCAUAUAUAUAUGGAGGAGGAAGCAAAGCCAAUUCGUCAAUUUCAAAGAAGGUUGAAUCCUCAUCUACAAGAGGUGGUGCGAGCUGAGGUGCUGAAGCUACUUCAAGCAGGAAUCAUUUACCCUAUUUCUGAUAGCCCUUGGGUGAGUCCUACUCAAGUGGUACCAAAGAAGUCAGGGAUCACAGUGGUUCAGAAUGAAAAAGGAGAAGAAAUUACUACACGCCUCACUUCAGGUUGGAGGGUGUGUAUUGAUUAUAGGAAGCUGAAUGCUGUCACCAGGAAGGAUCAUUUUCCAUUGCCAUUUAUUGAUCAAGUGCUGGAGAGAGUCUCUGGACAUCCAUUCUAUUGUUUCUUGGAUGGGUAUUCAGGGUAUUUUCAGAUUGAAAUUGAUUUGGCAGAUCAGGAAAAGACCACCUUUACAUGUCCAUUUGGAACAUAUGCUUACAGAAGAAUGCCUUUUGGUUUAUGCAAUGCACCUGCUACAUUUCAAAGAUGCAUGUUGAGUAUUUUCAGUGAUAUGGUGGAGCGAAUUAUGGAGGUUUUCAUGGAUGACAUCACCGUAUAUGGAGGUACAUUUGAGGAAUGCUUGGUUAAUUUGGAAGCAGUUCUUCAUAGAUGCAUUGAAAAAGAUCUGGUGCUCAACUGGGAAAAAUGCCAUUUUAUGGUACGUCAAGGAAUUGUCCUUGGUCAUAUCAUCUCUGAAAGAGGCAUUGAAGUUGAUAAAGCAAAGGUGGAGCUUAUUGCCAAAUUACCAUCUCCAACAAUUGUGAAAGGAGUAAGACAGUUCCUUGGCCAUGCAGGCUUCUAUAGGAGGUUUAUAAAAGGUUUUUCAAGUCUUUCAAAACCUCUUUGUGAGCUGUUAGCUAAGGAUGCUAAGUUUAUAUGGGAUGAAAGGUGUCAGCAUAGCUUUGAUCAACUGAAGAAGUUUUUAACAACAACUCCAAUAGUGAGAGCCCCUAACUGGCAAUUACCUUUUGAAUUGAUGUGUGAUGCCAGUGACUUUGCUAUAGGAGCUGUGCUUGGCCAAAGAGAAGAUGGGAAGCCUUAUGUGAUUUACUAUGCAAGUAAAACACUAAACGAAGCUCAGAGGAACUACACAACUACAGAGAAAGAAUUGUUAGCUGUGGUAUUUGCUUUGGACAAAUUUCGAGCUUAUUUAGUGGGGUCUUUCAUCAUAGUGUUCACUGACCAUUCAGCCUUGAAGUAUUUAUUGACAAAGCAAGAUGCAAAAACAAGGUUGAUUAGAUGGAUUCUUUUGUUACAAGAAUUCGAUCUUCAAAUCAAAGAUAAGAAAGGAGUGGAGAAUGUAGUAGCUGACCACUUGUCAAGGUUAGUUAUAGCACAUAAUUCCCAUCCCUUGCCUAUCAAUGAUGAUUUUCCUGAAGAAUCACUCAUGUUCCUAGUGAAAACUCCUUGGUAUGCUCAUAUUGCUAAUUAUUUAGUAACUGGAGAAAUUCCAAGUGAGUGGAAUGCACAGGACAGGAAGCACUUCUUUGCCAAAAUUCAUUCUUAUUAUUGGGAAAAGCCCUUUCUCUUUAAGUAUUGUGCAGAUCAGAUUAUUAGGAAGUGUGUCCCUGAAGAUGAGCAGCAAGGGAUUCUAUCUCAUUGUCAUGAGAAUGCAUGUGGAGGCCACUUUGCCUCUCAGAAAACAGCCAUGAAGGUAUUGCAAUCAGGGUUUACUUGGCCAUCUCUUUUUAAAGAUGCCCACAUCAUGUGUAGGAAUUGUGAUAGAUGCCAAAGGCUUGGAAAGCUAACAAAAAGAAAUCAAAUGCCUAUGAACCCCAUUCUGAUAGUUGAAUUAUUUGAUGUAUGGGGCAUUGACUUCAUGGGACCUUUCCCAAUGUUUUUUGGUAAUUCUUACAUCUUGGUGGGGGUGGAUUAUGUUUCUAAAUGGGUUGAGGCAAUCCCCUGUAAGCAAAAUGAUCACAGGGUGGUUCUCAAGUUUCUUAAAGAGAACAUUUUCUCUAGAUUUGGGGUGCCCAAAGCCAUAAUCAGUGAUGGAGGUGCUCAUUUUUGCACCAAACCUUUUGAAGCUCUCUUAUCCAAGUAUGGAGUGAAGCAUAAGGUAGCCACACCUUAUCAUCCUCAGACUUCCGGGCAAGUUGAGCUAGCUAACAGGGAAAUAAAGAACAUCUUGAUGAAAGUGGUGAAUUCCAACAGAAAAGAUUGGUCUAUUAGGCUUCAUGAUUCAUUGUGGGCAUAUAGAACAGCUUAUAAGACUAUUCUUGGGAUGUCUCCCUAUCGUCUUGUCUAUGGCAAAGCAUGCCAUCUCCCUGUGGAAGUUGAAUACAAGGCUUGGUGGGCAAUAAAGAAGCUGAACAUGGAUUUGAUCAAGGCAGGAGAAAAGAGAUUUCUAGACCUUAAUGAGAUGGAGGAAUUAAGAAAUAAUGCUUAUAUCAACUCCAAAGUUGCAAAACAAAGGAUGAAGAAGUGGCAUGAUCAACUCAUCUCCAACAAGGAAUUUCAGGAAGGGCAAAGAGUUUUGAUGUAUGACACCAGACUCCAUAUCUUUCCUGGGAAGCUCAAGUCAAGGUGGAUUGGUCCAUUUGUUAUUCACCGAGUGUGGUCCAAUGGAGUGGUGGAAUUAUUGAAUUCCAAUGGCAAGGACAACUUUAGAGUCAAUGGAUAUCGUCUCAAGCCAUUCAUGGAGCCAUUCAAAUUAGAAAAGGAGGCAAUCAACCUCCUUGAACCUCAAAAAGCCUAAGUGAAAUGGGUUUGCUGGACGUGGUUUACCACAUUCCAAAAUUUUUGUAAAUUUUGUAAAUUUUCAAGUUAUUUCCAUACUUUUGAUCUUAGUUUUUGAUCUUAAAUCAUGUUUUUAGGUGUGUUUUAAUCGUUUUGAAUGAUCCCAGGUGGAAGAAAUUUCAAGGAGAUUGAAAGAAAAAAAAAAUCGGGUCGAAAUCAGAGCUAAAACAGAGCAAAAACAGGGGAAAAACAGAGCUCUGCGAAAUUUCGCAGAGUGAAGGAAACUUCUGCGAAAUUGGCAUUUUGUUGCCAAACCAUUCCGCAACACUGUAGAAGUCUCUGCGAGGGUAUUUCGCAGCUGCGAAAGUGAAUUUGGCACACGAGUGCCACUUCGCAGUACAGUAGCAUCCAUUUGGCAGCUGCGAAACCCAUUGCGAAGUGGAAAAGCAUGAUUUCGCACCAAAAGUCCCAUUCCGCAGGGCAUUUCGCAAUUGCGAAAGUGGUUUUGGCACACGAGUGCCACUUCGCAGCACAGUGACAUCAAUUUCGCAGCUGCGAAACUCACUGCGAAGUUGCUGCGAAAAUGGCAAGUUGCUGCGAAAUUGGCGUUUUGUUGCGAAACUUAAACUGACCCUUAGACUUCCGUUUUUCCUAUUUAUACCGGUCAUUUGUGCUGCGAAAAGGGUUUCAAAAAUCAGAGUACCAUUCUCGCAGCCUCUUCGUCUCCUUCACCAAGCCACGCCGUCUGUGCCUCCGGCCAUCUUCUCCGUUCAGCAACGCCGGCCAACGAUCGAUAUCCCAAAAUGGCGCGAACACGAGGGGCAAAGUCUUCAUCCCCUUCGAAUCGCAAAAAGAUGCUGCGAAAGGAGCCACCUUCAGAUUCUGCUCCAAAGCCUUCGCCGUCGAGACCAAUUCCACCUCCAGUGAAGCCGGCGCCACCAAAGCCGCCGGCAAAACGAUAUUUAACCAGGUCCGGAGGUCGGCCAUUGAAGAAGAAACCCAGGGUAGAGAGCUCAGAACCCAUUGAUUUGACUGAGCAAUCCCCUGAGCAAUCCCCAAAUCCAUCACCGGUUCAAUCUCCGGUAUCUUCACCAAAUCCUUCACCGGUUCAAACUCCAGUGCCGUCGCCGGUUCCCUCGCCGAGUCCCCUGCCAGUUCCAUCGCCGGUACCAUCUCCGGCACCCCAAGAAAAAGCUCAGGAGCCUCAAGCGCCAAUUCCAGAGCCUCAAAUUGCAGCUGAAGCACCUCUGGAAGAAGUAAUCCGAAGGCCAAUGCUGCCCCAGCCCCCAAUCGAAGGAAACUUGGAUUGUCGAACUCGGGCAUUCCAUUCUGAGCUUUGCUUCGACUUAGCAGCAUUCAGAGUGAGGCCAGAGCUAGCCCAAUCAUUCCAGCUGCUGAGGAGGUACCAUAUGGAGCAUCUGCUAGCUCCAAGGGACUUUUUCUAUCCUCGGAUAGCCACGGAUUUCUACCAGUCCAUGACAACCAAAGAGGUAAGAAAUCCAACUCUGAUCCAUUUCACAAUUGAUGGGAGACAUGGUAUUUUGGGAGCAAGACAUAUUGCUGAAGCCCUGCAAAUUCCUUUUGAGCCAACCCAAUUCGACAAUUUUAAAGCUUGGGCAAAUCCUACUGAGCUAGAGAUGGUUCGCACCCUUUCCAGAGGAGCUGCAAAUCGAUCACAUCUGCUGAGGGGGGAGCUACCUCCAGUUAUGUUUUUGAUUGAUGCCUUUUUGAGGCAUAAUAUCUAUCCCCUGCAGCAUUGGACCCAAAGAAGGGGAGUUCUCCUGGAAGCCCUGUACAAGAUGUCAGAAGGAUUCUUCUUUGGGCCUCAUCAUCUGAUCAUGGCAGUCCUUCUCUACUUUGAGGAGAAGGUUCACAAGAAGAAGCUUCAAAGAGCAGAUUGCAUUCCCCUCCUCUUCCCACGGCUGCUAUGCCAAAUUUUGGAACAUCUCGGAUACCCCUCUGAGCCUCAGCAGGAGAAAAAGAGAAUUUGCCGUGAGCCAUUCACUCUUGAUAAAUGGAAUAAUAUGACGGCCUACAAAAUUGAUCAGCCUGGGCAGCCUCAGCCAGCAGCAAGGAGAGCCUCCCCAAGACAUAUACCUGAAGGUAUAACACUUGCUACUCCUGCCAUUCCUAGAGCUCCACCAGCUACACCUGCUCCAUCACAGCCAUCCACAUCAGCUGAGCCGAGGAUGGCCAUCCCUAUAUCUGAAUAUCGAGAGCUGUGUCGUGCAUUGGAGACUCUUACAGCUUCCCAGAGCAAUCUUGCUCAGGAAUUGGCAGCCAUCAAAGCAUGCCAGGAGCAGAUGUUAGCCUCGCAGGCUCAACAAGCUGCCAUCCUAAGGCAGCUUCAAGUCCAUUUCGAUCUGCCACAAGCUGUAGAGCCCUCCAUUCCUACUCCACCAGAGCCACACUCUCAGCCUUCAGAGUCUCAUCCUCCAGAGCCAGAAGCCCCAGCUGAUCCACCUACUGAGGAGGCAGAUCCUUCUGCCUAGCACCAUCACCCCACUCAUCAGACAUUAUAUAUAUUUGCUAUUUAUGUUUUUAUGCAUGUUUGUUUUGUUUUAGUUGAAAUGAAGUCCCAGUAUUUUGGUACUAUAUAUGGGAUUCCUUGUGAUUACUUGUCUUUUGCAUUGUAAUCAAAUGAACUCAAAGUAAUACAAGUUGAAUUUUUCUUGUUAAAAGUUAGCAUUAAGUUCUCCUUAUUCCCUUUUCUCACAUAUUCUAUUCUUUUUGAAACAUGUGGUUUUCCCCAAUCAAUAUUCGAAUUUGAUAUCAGCAAGGAGGUACCACUUCCUCCCUUUUAUUACAGUCACUCAUAUCACAUUGAGGACAAUGCUCAGUUCGGUUGGGGGGUAUGAGGAAGGAAGUAUGCUAAAUCUUUUUGGUAUUGCAAUUAUAUUGGUUAAUUAGUUGUAGAUUUUACUUUUUACUCUUGUUACUCUAUUCUCCAUGAAUUUUGAAGAAAAUUUUCAAAAUUAAAUCAAGAGAAAUUGAACUGUUUUUUUUCACUUGACUUAGAGUAUGGAUUAUGCUUACUAAAGUGGUUCAAUUGUUGAAACUUCUACUGUAAUUGAAUUGAAUUCUUCCACUUUAAGCUAUCCACACACUGUGCACAUUAGUUUCCGAUUAUAACAUGAAAAGCUAUUUCCCUCUUGACUUAGGAUAAUUUUGGGACUUGGUAUAUUUGACCUCAUUUGAUAAAAAUUGAAACACCCUGCAAAAGGCCAAUGAGCCUUUGAAAUAAAGAAAGUUGUUUGCUUGCCUUGAAACCCGAGCAAGGUCUGAGGGGUAUAUGGUGAAAGCCUUUAAAGCCUGGUGCCCUAAACCUUAAUUGGUUGGGAGUCACCGACCUCAAUGCUCGUUACAAGGGUGAAUAGGUAGAGUUAGCAUAUGGUAGAUGCUUGGGUAUUAGAAAUUCAUUCUUAAAAGUCCGGGGAGAAAUCCGAGGAGUUAGUGGUUGAAAGAUCCUUAAAACUUGGUGCCCUAAACCUUAAUUGGUUGGGAGUCAUCGAUGGACCCCCAUUACAUGGACAAGUCAGAAAGAGUACCCCAUAAAGCUACCUUGAAAAAAAAAAAAAAAAAAAAAAAAAAAAAAAAAGAAAGAUGAAAGUGUGUUCUUUUCUUAUUGAUUUUGGUCAGUUUGCUAAAGUGUUGAAAAGAGAUAGGUUGGGGGGUGAGACUAGUUUAGCAUAUUAUUCUCGGAAUCUAUGGAACCAAUACACAUAGAUUUUUGUGGAAGAUUGAAGUUUAGUUCUUAGAAAGUGAAAUGAUUUUAAAACUUCAGUUUACAUAAUGCACUCCCUUGAUUGACAGUGUUUAGCAUAGUUGUUAUGACUCUUGUUGAGAUUUGGGUUUGUAUUUCUUCAAUGCUUCAUGUGAGAAUUAGAUCAUCAUGCCACUUGAGAAUUAUUUCCUUUCAGCAUGAUGUUGUAAAUUUUAGAUUAGUUUGUUAUUUAUUUUUAUUUUUCUCUCCUAUAUUGCUAAGGGACUAGCAAUAUGUCGGUUGGGGGGAGUGAUUACUACUCAAAAAGUGCUAUUUGAUAGCCUUUAAUUAAUCCUUUUUAACACUUUUGAGUAGUAGUUUAGGCCUUUUAACUCAAUUGGCAUGUUAAGGAUCCUUUAAAGCAAUUUUGAUCACUUUGUGUAAGUUUUGGUGCUUUUGAUAGUAUAUUGAUCACCAAAGCAAGUCAAGACUGAGGAGAGCUAUGAGGAAUCUUGGGCAAAGUUUAGAAUUCAUUUGCCAAGAGUGAAUCCGGAUUGCAAGGAGAAAAAGCAAAGAGGAUCGGUCAUGGAGCAUAUUAUUGAUGACAGUCGUAGCAGCCACUUUUGGAGCACUUUCUGAAGUCCAAAUGAUGCAUGCUAUAUACCUUUUCAAAGCUCAGGAAGUCAACAAUCCAAUGCUUCAAACGGUGCGCGAUUCGGAGUUGAAACGAAGAAGUUGCAGCCAUUACAAGUCAAUCACUCUAAAGUGUUGCGGAAUCAACCUUUUGUUGCGAGAAUUUCACAGCACUUUUGUACAGUAAGGUGUUUCUCCUUCUGACGAUUCACGAACCAUGCCGCGAGAAGGGAGCUGGGAACCUCAAGGUGGAAGCCAAAUUCGCAGCCUGGUGAAGAUAGCUCGGUGUUGCGAAAUAAUUUCGCAGCCCUCUUGGGUGUCUGCGAAAUUUCGCAGACACCAUUUUUCUCCUGCGAAAUGGUUCCUGAAGCCUCCCGACGCUUGCUACCGACAUUGGGAGAUAUUUUCCAUUAGAUUUUUGUUGUCUAAAUCCCAAAAUACUCCUUGUAAACCACCAAAUUACAUGAUUCCUUAGUUUUUAAGUUAGUAAAAGAGACCAAAUAUCUUUGUAACAAAUAAUUUUAUAUUGGGUUUGAUAUAUAAAACCUCUGGAAAGCCUGUUUCUCGGGGGAUGAAUUUCUUUCUGUUUGAAGUUUAGGAAACCAGGUAAAGGUCUUUUCAUGUACCUUCUUACUUUGUAUUUUCAUUUUAUUUCUAAGUUAUGAAUUCUCUGAGGAGUUUUCCCCAGAGAAUGAGUAACUAAACCUCCAAUUCCUUGGAGCUAAGGUUGCCGGGGAAGGUUCCAAGUGCAAGAAUGCAAAGCUCUGUGGUUUUAGCUAGUAAUGAAGAGGAAGUGAAAUCCUUUAGUGAUUUCAAUGUUUUUAGUUAACUUAAAACACCUUGGAGUCACCUGGGCCAACACUUGGUAAGGCAAGUGAUUUCCAACCAUGGAAAUGCACUAGUUUACCCCUUGCGAGCCUCUGGUAGGUGUCUUCAAGGUAGGAUUUUCUGGAAUUACCAACACUUGGUAAGCUUUUGGACUCCUAGGAGACAUCCAUUAGUUAUCUCUUGCGAGUUUGUGAAGGGAAGUCCAAGGUUAAAGAUCACCUUGAAUGGUAAGUGCUCGUGAGAGGCAUGAACCAUUGCAAGUUGUAUCAGUGAGAGAAUUAAAGUGAAAUCUAAUUGAAGGAGUCUCUGUACAUCACCGGUUAGAGAAUUGACUAUAAGNNNNNNNNNNNNNNNNNNNNNNNNNNNNNNNNNNNNNNNNNNNNNNNNNNNNNNNNNNNNNNNNNNNNNNNNNNNNNNNNNNNNNNNNNNNNNNNNNNNNNNNNNNNNNNNNNNNNNNNNNNNNNNNNNNNNNNNNNNNNNNNNNNNNNNNNNNNNNNNNNNNNNNNNNNNNNNNNNNNNNNNNNNNNNNNNNNNNNNNNNNNNNNNNNNNNNNNNNNNNNNNNNNNNNNNNNNNNNNNNNNNNNNNNNNNNNNNNNNNNNNNNNNNNNNNNNNNNNNNNNNNNNNNNNNNNNNNNNNNNNNNNNNNNNNNNNNNNNNNNNNNNNNNNNNNNNNNNNNNNNNNNNNNNNNNNNNNNNNNNNNNNNNNNNNNNNNNNNNNNNNNNNNNNNNNNNNNNNNNNNNNNNNNNNNNNNNNNNNNNNNNNNNNNNNNNNNNNNNNNNNNNNNNNNNNNNNNNNNNNNNNNNNNNNNNNNNNNNNNNNNNNNNNNNNNNNNNNNNNNNNNNNNNNNNNNNNNNNNNNNNNNNNNNNNNNNNNNNNNNNNNNNNNNNNNNNNNNNNNNNNNNNNNNNNNNNNNNNNNNNNNNNNNNNNNNNNNNNNNNNNNNNNNNNNNNNNNNNNNNNNNNNNNNNNNNNNNNNNNNNNNNNNNNNNNNNNNNNNNNNNNNNNNNNNNNNNNNNNNNNNNNNNNNNNNNNNNNNNNNNNNNNNNNNNNNNNNNNNNNNNNNNNNNNNNNNNNNNNNNNNNNNNNNNNNNNNNNNNNNNNNNNNNNNNNNNNNNNNNNNNNNNNNNNNNNNNNNNNNNNNNNNNNNNNNNNNNNNNNNNNNNNNNNNNNNNNNNNNNNNNNNNNNNNNNNNNNNNNNNNNNNNNNNNNNNNNNNNNNNNNNNNNNNNNNNNNNNNNNNNNNNNNNNNNNNNNNNNNNNNNNNNNNNNNNNNNNNNNNNNNNNNNNNNNNNNNNNNNNNNNNNNNNNNNNNNNNNNNNNNNNNNNNNNNNNNNNNNNNNNNNNNNNNNNNNNNNNNNNNNNNNNNNNNNNNNNNNNNNNNNNNNNNNNNNNNNNNNNNNNNNNNNNNNNNNNNNNNNNNNNNNNNNNNNNNNNNNNNNNNNNNNNNNNNNNNNNNNNNNNNNNNNNNNNNNNNNNNNNNNNNNNNNNNNNNNNNNNNNNNNNNNNAUUUUCUGGAAUUACCAACACUUGGUAAGCUUUUGGACUCCUAGGAGACAUCCAUUAGUUAUCUCUUGCGAGUUUGUGAAGGGAAGUCCAAGGUUAAAGAUCACCUUGAAUGGUAAGUGCUCGUGAGAGGCAUGAACCAUUGCAAGUUGUAUCAGUGAGAGAAUUAAAGUGAAAUCUAAUUGAAGGAGUCUCUGUACAUCACCGGUUAGAGAAUUGACUAUAAGUUGAAUCUCUAAUGCGAGGAAAUGAACCAACUGACCGGAGCUAUGUCUUUUGCAUGAGGAACCACCCCAGUGAACCUAAAUCUCCAAGGAAUGUUUUUCUUCCUAAAUUAUUCCAAACUUCUGUUAAGUUAGUUAGUUUAAGUCUCAACCUUUACCAAUCAAAGUUUGUGUUUUAUUUCUUAAGUUAACCGUGAAAUGAAGCAAGACCAAUUCACUUGGAAUUGGUAUCCUUGAUUGCUUGUUCAUUAUUCCCAGUGAACGAUCCUAGAGCCACUAUACUAUAGUAGCUUUUUAUUUGCUACCCUAGUGUAUGGUGUUAUAGGUAUAAAUUUUGUUGAUCACUUCCUCAAUCAAGGAGCACCAGCUGAACACAAAUCAGCUGAGACACCAAUUGGGCAUGAGUCAGAUUCAUAAAAGGUGACAAAACUAAGCAUAUCUCCCCUAAAUUCUUCUACACCCAAGAGCUUCAGGAGAAAGGUGAGAUUGAUGGUUAGGAGAUUCGGUCAUGUAAUAAUCUAGCAGAUCUAUUCACAAAGGCAUUACCUUCGACCACUAUGAAAAGGUUAAGGUAUGAUAUUGAAAUGAAAAGAUUAAGAGAUCUACCAAUUGAAGAAUUGAAGAAAUCAUAAUCAUAUGUACAAAAGGGGUAGAAAGUUAAGAUGUAUAUACUGCACUCUUUUUUCCUUUGUCCACGUUUUGUCCCAUAGGGUUUUACUGGCAAGGUUUUUGAUGAGGCAGUUACCAUAUCCUUAUGAUCAUCCAAGGAGGAGUGUUUUAAAAUAUGAAAUUUUAUACCACUAUGGUAACUUGUGGAUGAUCAUCCAUAAAUAUUUUUUGUAACUCCCUAUAAAAUGGAGGGACCCUUAAUGAAAUUCUAUUGAGUUUUCCUGUGCAUUUUAUCCUCUUUUUCUGUUUUCUUCUUCCUCCACUUUUACAACAUUAUCUUAUACAUUUAUUUUAAUUAUUUUAUAUUUUUUUAUACAUUUUCUUAUAAAUGAGAUUUAUUUUAUAAUUCAUAUAUUUGUUUUUUUUUUAAAAAAUUUAGGACUUUUAUUUAUUACUUCAAAUAAAUUUAUAAAAAUUAUGGUAAUUUUAAUCAUAAUAAUUUAAUGUUUGAAAAUUAAUAUCAAGAAUUCUCAAAAAUUAUUUUUAGUUUUAAUAAUUAAUAAUGAUUAUGGAGAUUUAUGAAUUAUUUUUAUCGUAUUUGAUGAGACAUUUAAAUGAAAAUUCAAGAUUUAUAUAUAUAUAUAUAUGUUUCUUUCAUAAUAAAUUUUAGAUAUUUUUAAAAUUAAUUAAAAUAAUAUAUAAAGAUGUCAUAUGCAAUUUAUCUUUCCAAUUUCUUCUUCUUUCAUAUUGUUGUUUUUGAAAUCACUCUUUUAAUCUAAAAUAAAAAAUAUUAAAAUAUUAAAAUAAAUCAUCCAAAAAAUUAUGACAUUAAUUUGAUUUUUAAUUUAUUCUUACUCUUUUCAAUAAUAAGAAAUUAAAUAAGAAUAAAAAUAACUACUAAUAAAUAUUUUAAAAUAAAUUUAAAAUUUAUUUAUUUACAAAAUAAUAUGAAUUACAGCCAAAUUAAUAUAAUGGAUAUACUACAAUUCUGAAUCCCUCAAAAAAAUCAAUCCUACAAAAUAAUGUUCAUUUGUUUAAUCGAAAUUGAAUGCUUCAUAAGAAUGAUGAAAUAAACAAGAGACACAAUGCUGGAGAAUGUUGAAGAGGGACAUGAAACACAAAUAUGUUAGAGUGAGGCACAACACUGAUGAAUGUUAAAGAAAGACACGAAACACAAAUGAUAAUGGAGCAAGUGUCAAGAUUACUCUUAGGGUUGUAGUAUCUACAAAAAUAAAAUAGCACCAAACAUCAAACUCUUUACUAACUUAUGUCAUUUUGUGAGCAAAUAGUAUCGUAGAAAGACAAAGAGAGACAAAAAAUAAAAAUAAAAACUCAUAAUGGAAUCCAAUAAUAAGAAAGCAAGAGAAAAAAAGAGAAAUUUCACACCCUAUAGGUUGAGAACAUGGGUUCCAUGACCUUCGGGUUGAAAACAUGAGUCUUGUAAAUAAGAGAUAAAAUUAAAAGACAUUAAACAUGAAGUUGAAAGGAAAUUGAAUUCUUAGGGUUGACAUUGAAAAUACAUCAAAUAUAAAGGGGAAUAUGAAUUGAAAAGAUACCCACAUUUAUUUUCUUUUAACAUUUAUUGAUUUAGUGAGAGAAAAGACUGAUUUUUUAAAUCUCAUACUUUCAUGGAGGUGUUUUUUUUUUUUUCCAUAACUAGUUGUAUUUUUUAAUAAAAUUUUAUAAAAGAAAUAGUUAUUUAUUUAAAGAAAUAAAAUAAUAUUCAAAAUCAUAAUUUAAAAAUACAAUUUUAUUAUAAAUUUAUAAAUUAUAGUGUACACCCUCCAUUUUGUCCCUAACACAUAUUUUCUCAUUUUAUUUUCUUUCACACCAUGCUUAUUUUUAGUAUGUGUUUAAGAUCCUUAUUACUUGAUCAUUCAUUGUCCCUUAUUGGUUUACAUUUAUUUGAUUCAUUGUUUAUUUUUUAGACACAUUUUGGAGGCCAUUUAGGGGGUAAUUUCGGGUCCUUCCAACUUGAGUUUUAGAGACCCCCUAAGCUUAGAAUUUUUUUUUUGUUUGUUUAAUCUCAGUCUUAGGAGAGUUUCUAAGGUUUUUUUAAUUUUUAGAGAGGCCUAGUAGCUGGCUUAGGAUGAGGACAUGUGUUCUCAUCUUGACUGCUUCACUUUUAAAACACCCAUUUUUUUUCCUUCUUUUUUUGCCAUAUUUGGGGGAGACCGUCUAGAAACCUCUCAGGAGAGGAGCUUUUCAACAUGUUUUUUUUUUCUUUUUUUCUUUUAUUUUAGGUGAGUUGUCAAGAUGAAGGAGGAGAGUGAGUUGUUAGUGGUGCUUUUCUGUAGGGGGGAAUAUUCUCUGCAUAAGGGUGGUUAUAAGAGAGAGAAAAAGACACUUUUUUUUUUUUGUGAGCUUCAAGAGACGUUUUGAGCAUCAGAGGAUAUUGGGAUUAUCAUGAGGAUUUAGGGAGGUGGGAGUGAGAGUUUGAGGAGAAAGAAAACAAGAGGAUGGUUUUACCAUUAACUAAAAUGCUAGGGUGAUGGUCCUUGUGUUAGACAAGAUAUUUUAGAAGAACAAAAUUAGUUUUAGGUUAGUUUUAGAGUUAGCUGAAAAAUAGAAUUAAUUAGUCUUCAAAAAUUGCUUUGUAAACUCUCUUACAUCUCCUUUGUUCUACUCUGUUUUUGCUUUCACCACGUUUUAUCUCUCAUCCAAACUCCUUAACAUGGUAUCAAAGCCAUAAUAUCCAACUCAGUCACCCAUUAACAACUGAUGAAUCCUUCUUCACCAUUCUCCAACUUUUUAAACUAUACUUUGUCAAUAAAACUAGAUCAAGAAAAGUACUUGAUCUAGAAAUCUCAAAUUACACCAACAAUUCAAGUACAUGAUAUGCUUGGUUCAUUGAUGGAAUGAGUAAAUGUCCUCUAGAAUUCAUUAACGAAGAUCCAAGAGCCUCUGAUUCUUGCAUAGUCACUAACCAAGAUUAUGUGUUAUGUCAUUGACAAGAUCAAAUUUUGUUAAGUUGGUUAUUAUCAUCUAUUUCUGAAGAGGUGGUGGCCCAGGGGAUUAGUUGUUCCAUGUCUUUUGAAUUAUGGUUUAUGCUGGAAAAAUUUUUUGCUUCUUAGUUGAAGGCAAAAGUAUUACAAUUGUGUAUCCAACUCCAAUCAAUCAAGAAAAAUUCAUUGACAAUGGUUGAAUAGUUUGCAAAGAUAAAAAGAGUUACUAAGAAUCUUGCAGUUGUUGGGCAACCAGUCUCCAAUGAUGAUAUGAUAAUGUACCUUCUUCCUGGGCUUGGAUCUAACUAUGAUCCAAUUUUAGUAAGUGUUACCUCCAAACUUGAUUCAUUUUCUCUUCAAAGAAUAUAGGCUAUACUACUCAAUCAAAAAGCACGCUUAGAACAACUACAUUUAGAAAACUCACUUGAGUUUCAACAAACUGUUGUCAACAUUGCUUCACAUACUUCUUUCAAAGGUAAUGAUCCAAAAGUUACAGUAGGUGGUCAUACCACCAUUCCUCAAAAUAUGAGAGGGUUUCAAAGCUAGUCAAAUCAAGGAGAUCGAGGCAAUAGAUACAACUUCUCACAACUAAUUUGUCAAGUUUGUGGCAAACUAAGUUGUAUCGCCCUCACAUGCUACUAUUGAUUUGAUCACAAUUAUCAAUCUCAAAACUCUCAGAUUGUUAUCUUAAUUACUUCACUAGAAAUACUGGUUGAUCUUGCCUGGUACAUUGAUAAUGAGGCAAAAAAUCAUGUAACAGAUGAGCUAGGAUGUGUGCAGGCUUCUACUAAAUAUCUUGGAAAUAAGAAGUUGACUAUAGACAAUGGCCAAGGUUUGCCCAUUUAACAUAUUGGUCAUUUCUUUUUAUCUACUUCAGAUAAAACUAUUCUUCUUAAAAAUAUAUUUCAUGUUCCAAGCAUUAUUAAAAAUCUUUUAAGCAUCUCAAAAAUUGUUUGUAAUAAUGAUGUUGUUGGGAUUGAGCCCCUAAAAACAAAAAUAAUGUUAGAAACCUACACCUAACUAUCCCCUUGCUAUCAUUUUGGUGUAUUGACAUUAAUUUGAGCAUUCAACCCAUGUCUCUUACAUUGUACAUGACUUGGGUGCACUAGGAGUUGCAUAGAAGAUACAAGUCAUGGGUUCCUUAUAAGUAGAUAAGUUGUCCACAGUUAGUUCAUGGAUUUGGGCAAUCCAGUAGAAACUGUAGUGCACCACCUCCUGAUUGGAGGGAUGACUUUCCCAUGGUGAGUGCAUAGGACCUAAGAUGAAUCAUGAUGCAAGGUUAUCAAUUGUCAUGAUUCACAUAACUAUUAUAAUGAAUGAACUUUCAACUUUGAGAGGAUAUUGAGUCUAUGUCAAAAUCAACAGGAGGCUUUGACCUAUGGGUGAGACCCUAAAAUGGUCAUAUAUCUCUAUGGAUUGGGUCACUAUUAAUGGAGGCUGGUGGCAACAAGUAUUCUUAAUAUAGGCACCAUCACAUCUCUUGGGAUUGAGACCGUGUAUCCCCUUGGGUGAUCCAAAGGACAUGUGAUCAUGAAAUUUGUGGUCAUAGUAAUUCCUUUAACAGAAUUUGACAUAUGGUCCUUAGAGUUAGAGUUUGUUAGUUGAUUACUUAAUAAGUGAGAUUCGUAACUCAAGGAUUUGAGAGGUAAUCUUGAUAGGUGAUAUCACUACCUUGUUAGAUUAUGAACACCAGUUCAUGGGGAGUCUGGAUGUAUUAGAUAGUAAGUGACAAACCUGAGCACUUAGUGUCUUAUUGUUAUUUACCUAAGAUACUAGAGUUUAGUUAAUUCUUUAUAGUGGGAUGUUGAAUCAACUUCAGAAUUGGAUUCCGAGGGAUCCAAUACUCUUAUGGGUCCCAUUGGUCCUUGCUCUAAGCUCAUAUAUCUUGUUGUCAUAGAUUAUGAGGGUCGGAUUGACUUUACGUACACUUUUGUGCACAAGGGCGUUUUGAUAAUUAUAUAAGGUUGCACAGAGGUAAGUGAACAAGAUCUUGAGAUUGGGCUAAUUGAUUAAUUAGUAGGCCCGAUUGGGUUAAUUAAUCAAUUAUGACCCAUUUUAGGCUAGAUUAAGUGACCUAAGCCUAUAUAAGCUCAAGUCACUUAAGCCCAAUUAGGAUCCCUAUAAUUACCUCUUAGGGAUUAGGGUUUUUAUAACUUUGGUCCUCCACUAUCUAAAGAGAAAGAGAGUCAUAGCCUCCACCCUCCUUUCCUCCUCCACCGGAAGUGUGCCAAGAACAAGGUUGAGUCAUCAAACAGAAGAUCAUGGGUUUACGAGACUUCCAACAACUUUAAGGUUGUCUUCAAUACUUUAAAUUUAAGGCUUGGGAACAUCCAAACCUAAAGGUUAGUACUUUAAACCUAAAAGAUCAUUUUUUUAAAAGAUUGGUAUUGCUUUGAUUCCUUACAUCUAAGAUGCCAAUGGAUGUGUUUUUUGAAUUUCAUGCCAUUCGGUGCUUAGUCAAUGACAAAAUCAUGAGGAAAAUUCUACUUCAAGGGAGAAUCAAGAAUGGACUAUAUCAACUUCAAGGACCUAACUUUAUUACUGCAAAAGAAGUUGAAAAAAAAAUUCAUAUGGAAUAAAUAGUACUACUCAAAUAAGGAGGAAAACAAACUCCCCUCUAGAUCAAUUGAAUUCAUCUUUCAACAAUCUAUUACAUAAUGACCCAAAUUGGUUUUCAAAUGUCAAUGUUCCUUAUAUAACUAUAUUGCAUUGAAUGUUCAAUAUGAAGACUUAAGUACUUGGCAUAAUAGAUUUGGGCAUCCUUCUCAUUGUGUUCUUCAUCAAAUACUCAAGAGAUGUAAUAAAUCACAUAUUAGUGAGAAAGCCGCUAGUAAAUUUUGCUUUGCUUGCCAAUAUAGAAAAUGUCAUGACUUGAAUUUUCAUUCAUCACCUACAAAGACUAGUGAACCUUUAGAACUUAUUCACUCAAAUGUUUAGGGACCAUCACCUCUUCUCUUUACCGAAGGAUAUAAAUAUUAUGUUAGUUUCAUUGAUGAUUUCACGUAAUAUACGUGGAUUUUCCUCCUUAAAAACAAAUCUGCAAUACCUACUACAUUUCUACAGUCCAAGAAGUUUGUUAAGAAUCUACUUGAAGAAAAUAUCAAAGCUUGUAAAUAGAUAUGGGUGGUGAAUACAAACCAUUGACACAUUUCUCAAUGACAAUGAUAUAAUGUUGCAACAAUUGUGUCCUUCUAUGCAUCAACAAAAUGGUUGUGCGGAAUGAACACACAGGAAUAUUAUUGAACUCGACUUAACAUUGUUGUCCCAAGCCUUCAUGCCACUUAGUUUUUGGUGGGAUGCUUUCAACAUUGUAGUUUACUUAAUCAAUAGGUUACCUACAUUGAUAUUGAAUAAUCAAUCUCCCAUGAGAAAAUUAUUCCAUCAAGAACCUAGCUACUUUUUUCUCUACUACUUUAGAUGUGCCUGUUUUCCACACAUCAGACCAUAUAAUAAAAACAAGUUUGAUUUUCAUAUACUCAAAUGCUUGUUUGUGGGUUAUAGUAAUCUACACAAAGGAUACAAGUGCUAAGUCCCUCCAAGAAAAUUUAUAUAGCACACAAUGUGGUAUUUGAUGAACAAACAUUUCAUUUUUUCAUGGGAUUUUCAAUUAUCCCGACUUUUGGAUCUUAUAAAAAAUCUAUGAGUACAACCCAAACUCCAAAUCUUACUGUGAUAUUACCUCAACUCAACAAACCAAGACCGUCUAUUGUUAAAAAAAGCAGCCUAAAUAUUGAAAAAAAUUCUUCAACUACUACUUGCAAAAAUCAGUUUACAUCUUGCACUACCAAUGGAAACUCAAGUGAACCAACUCAGACUCUUACAAUUGAUGCUUCAAAAAAUUAGUCUACAUUUCAUCCAAUUCCUCAUUGUGACUUGUAUACAGAUUUGUCUAUUCCUACCUUGAAUACACAUCCAGUGACUACAAGGUCAAAGGUAGGAAUAUUCAAACCAAAGUUAUUCACAGUUGAAAGCACAACAAAACAACUUGAAAGUGAACCCAAUAGUGUUACAAAAGCAUUGCAAUCUAACAAGUGGAAAAAAGUUAUGGAACCAAAGAUUCAGGCAUUAAAUCAAAAUCAAACAUGCUACCUAAUAUCUUGUCUUCCACACUAUAAUGUCUUUGGCUACAAAUGGGUGUAUAAAUUAAAAUAUAACCCAAAUAGAUCAAUUCAACAUCUCAAGGCAUGACUUGUGCCAAAGGGAUUUCAUCAAACACUAGGAGUUGAUUUUUCAAAAACAUUCAGCCUUGUCAUAAAGCCAAUUACUGUAUGCAUCAUCUUAGCUAUAGUAGUUACAAUGGAUUGGAAGAUUCAACUUUAUGUUAAUAAUGUGUUUUUAAACAGAAGCUGCAAGAAAUUGUUUUCAUGUCUCAACUUGAAGGAUUUAUAAUUCCUAAGAAGCCCGAAUAUGUAUGCAAACUACAUAAAGCAUUGUACGAACUUAAACAAGCACCACAUGCUUGGUUUGAAAAAUUACGACGUGCUCUCUUCAAUUGGGGUUUUAAAGAGUUAGAGGUUGACACAUCAUUGUUUAUAUAUCGUGAAGUUUGCAACUCUAUUUUUUUUUUACUUGUGUAUGUGGAUGAUAUUCUCAUUAUUGGGAAUAACUCCCAACUUAGUCGUAAGACUUAUUCAUGACCUCAACUUCUAAUUUUCACUCGAGGACUUAGGGGAUUUUACAUGGGAUUCUAUAGGACCUUAUCUAACUCAAUCCAAAUAUAUCCUUGACUUGUUAAAAUGAACUAACAUGAAAUAAGUUAAAAGUUGCCCUACACCAACAAGUAUGGGACUACAACUAUCCAAUUCGAAAGAACAUAAAUUGAAUAAUGAGAAGUUGUAUCGCAACACUAUUGAAGCAUCACAAUAUCUCACUAUCACUAAGUGAUAAAUAUCUUACAUUGUAAACAAUUUGAGUAAGAUUUUACAUUGUCCUAUUGGUAUGCAUUGGAAAGCUUGUAAACAGGUUUAGAGAUACUUGCGUGGGAGUAUUGAUCAUGAUUUGCAUAUUCAAACUAUUGAGAUUGAGUACCUAAAAGCAAGACAUGAUGUAAAAAAGUUAAGCUUGACUAUCCCCUUGCUAUCCUUAUGGUGUAUUGACAUUGAUUUGAACAUUUAGUCUAUAACUCUUACAUUGUACAUGACUUGGGUGCAGAAGGAGUUGCAUAAAAGAUACAAGUCAUGGGUUCCUUAUAAGUAAAUAAUUUGUUUAUAAUUGGUUCAUGGAUUUGGGUAAUCCAGUAGAGACUCUAGUGCACCACAUCCUAAGUAGCUGGUGGCUUUGAAAAGCCACUACUUUUAAGUUAUUAUGAUGGUGCUUGUAGACUUGCAGAUUUAGGCCUUGUGUUAUUGGAGGAUGCCCAUUGCAAGAAAGGCAAGUCACAUUGUUUUGGGACUUUAGUGGCCCAAUGAAGAUGGUUAAAGACUCCAACCCCUUGAUCCAUGACUUUUAUGGAUUGGGCUAGACUCAUUUCACUAAUCCAAGGGGUUUAAAUUGUAGAUUAAGGGAUGUGGGUGAGCCUUAACUGGUAGUGAGGGCUUUCAUAGCCUUGUACCCUUGGAGAGAGAUCAAUCUGAAGGUUGUGAGAAGGGAUUUUGGUUAAACAUUCUGGCAUCCCAAGAGAGGAGAGUCUGUCACAACAUUGCAUAGGUAGGAACCUCUAGAUGCUAUGGAUCAAGAGCUAGCUGUCUUUAGUUGAUCUUGAUGGCCUGAGGAUGGUUUGUGACGAAUUAGCUCUCUCUUUGCUUGUUCGCUCCUCUUAGAGCCUAGAGGAGGGAGCACCAUUUGUAGAUGCCACCCUCUUGUUUGGAGUAGAAGGUUUUGCAGGUAAGUUAUCAUCUCCAGUUUGUUGGAUGGGGGAUGGGUCUUCUUCUGCAUCUUCUAUUUCCAAAGAUGAGGGUCCAACCAAACGCUUGGUUUUGUGGAGGGAGCAGGACAAGGGGCGGCUUGUAGUAGAAUGCAAGGGUGAUGGUUAUGGGAUGUUAUGUAUGACUUCCAGCAAGGGUUUGGUUGUGGACUUUCCAAAGAAUCACCUUAGAGAUGCUUAGAGUGUGAACCUAGAUGUGGGGAGUGAGGAGGUGGUGGCUUUGGAGAAUGGGGGCUCUAGGAGGGACUCGAUGGGAGAUGAGAGCCUCUACGAUUUGUCUUUUGGGAAAUUCGUCUCCUUUAGCAAGUUUUUGGAUUUGCUAGUGGAAGGUUAUGAGAAGGAAAUUGUGUCCUUAUUGAGAAAGUCGGAAGCUAAAAAGGGUUAUAGAGUAGUGGCUUUGAGUAUAAAAAGGAGGCCUUCCUCUAUGUUCGACUUUGAUAGGGAGCUUUGCAAAUUGGAGUGCUUGGUCAAUUACAACAAAUCAAGUGGAAAAAGGGGGAGCCAGAAGUGGGGGUGGGAUAUGGUUUGUGAGUGAUCAUGAAGUUCGAGAUUUUUCUUAAUUCCUAAUUCAAUAUAUUACAUUGUUGUUUCUCAAAAAAAGUACAAAAGAAAAAAAGAAAAAAAAAAGAAAAUAAAAAUAAAGAAGUUUUGAGAUUUUUUUAUCGUCAUUAGUAGGUUUAGAGGCUGGGUGUUUGGCUCUCCUUAGAAAUUGGAAGGACUUGAGAAAAGGAGAGGGGCCAGAAUUGUAUCACUCAAUCUCAAGGUAAGGGAUUUAGAAAAGUGGGCUGGAAUUGUAAUUUAUAAGGGAGCAGAGGGUAGUCAUUUCAGGCAGUGGCAAGGGAGAGUGGAAUUAUUAACAAUGGGUAGAUGAAGUUUGAAUUUAUCCAAGGAUUCAGUAAGAUUGCAGAAAGUGGAUUUGGUUUGCAAGCAUGAAAGGUCGUAUAGGUCUUUAUGUCUUUCUAGGCCUUUAGGGUGAUGUUUUUGUAUCAGGUUACGGUUUGUUGUUUUUUUUUUCCUUUUGCUUGCCUUCUGGCACUGUUUGUAUUCUCUAUGUAGUUUGUGCAACUUUACAAAGUGUUUUUAAUAUCUUAUCAGUUUACCUAAAAAAGAAAAGAAAAAGAGAGAGAGAGAGAAAGAGAUAUAUGGAUGGGAGGAAAUAAAAUAUAUCAAUCAGGAAGGCCAAAUUAUACUACUAUGCACCUCUUAUGACUGAUUGAUGGGUUUGUGCAAAUUAUAGGAACAAUACCAACAGUAUUGUCCUUUUGACUUGAGCCUCCAAAUUGCUUGGUUAUCUGAAGAUAGUUUUCAUUGAUGAAUACCUCUUGACCUUAUGAUCCAGAUUUUGGCAUAUGAAGUUAAGCAAGUUAUAACUAAAUAGACUUAUACUGUGAAUUUCUUGGAUUUUGAUAAAAGAGUGAAACCUAAAAUUGUUAAUUCAGAUCAGUUUUGAAUGAACAUAAAAUGGUGCCUCUACUGUAAUGCCUGAAAUAUUUGAUAUCCAUUCAAUAGCUUCCCAAUGCUCUUCUUUUCGUAAAGCUAUUGAUGGCUCCCAUUGCUUGAGCUUUUUACCCAAUCUUGUAUGCACCAUGUGAUGAGCCAAGAAGAUCGCAACGUGUUCCUAAGAAAAACCCAAGGUUCAUAACAUGAUAAACAUGCAGAGCAAGUAGGAUGAUCGUGCAAGGAGCUGUUAGAGAUUAAUUGCUGGCAUAGUUCUGUUAGAAGACUUGGUCUGAUGUCUGUUAGCUAUUAUUAUGCUAUUUGAAUAAGUAUUAGCUAUUUAUUUGCUAAUAAUGGUUGAGUCCUUAUUUUCAGUAGUUAUGGUCGUGAGAGUAAGAGAAUGUGGGUUUUUCCUUGUAUAUUUAAACUAUUUCAGUAUGCAGCAAUAAAGGGGAGUUCAUUCAAAAUCCAAAUAUUGUGGCUCGUUCUUGCCCUAAGAAGAAUUUUGUUUACUGAUUAUAUUAGCUUUGAUUGGGACCUAUCAUUGGUAUCAGAGCCAGGUUACACUGAUGGCAACUAACAAGGAAAAAAUAGAACAAUUAGAGGCUGGGCUAGGAGGACUUCAAGACGAAAUGAGUCGAAUGGAACUUGGUCUGACUGACAAGUUGCAUCAAAUGGAGGAAACCAUCCACAGGCUAUCAGAAGCUUUGCUUUCCAACAAAGAAGGAUCCAGUAGCAACACCAACGAUCGUAAUGGUCAUGUCCGCAAUAAUAGAGACAACUCUAAGGGAUAAAUGGAAGGGGGACAACAAAUGUUCUUAUCCAAGUUGGCAAAGCUUGAAUUUCCAAGGUACUCUGGCAACGAUCCAACUGAAUGGUUCAACAAAGUGGACCAAUUCUUUGAAUAUCAAGGCAUCCCAGUAGCGCAAAAGGUGUCAUUAGCGUCAUUUCAUCUUGAGGGUGAAGCUAAUCAGUGGUGGCAGUGGUUACGCCGCUCCUACAGUGAAGAAGGGAAAGAAGUGGUGUGGGCAGAUUUUGAAGAGGAACUCUGGGCUCGUUUUGGACCUACAGAGUGUGAAGAUUUUGAUGAGGCUUUGUCAAGGGUGAAACAGAUGGGCUCACUACGAGACUAUCAAAGGGAGUUUGAAAAGCUAGGAAAUCGGGUGCAAGGAUGGACACAAAAGGCAUUGGUUGGAACGUUUAUGGGUGGUCUUAAGUCGGAAAUUGCCGACGACAUUCGGAUGUUCAAACCCAAAUCAUUGAAAGAAGCAAUCAGCCUGGCACGAAUGAGAGACGACCAGCUAACUCGCCAAUGAAGAUUCACACGACCUUUGCAACCCAACUGGCCGCAGCCUAACUUUUCUACUCAAAUGAAAUCCAAGCCAACACCAACCAUGAAACGUCUCACUUGGGAAGAAAUGCAGAAAAGGCGAGCAUAAGGCCUCUAUUUCAAUUGUGAUGACAAAUUCACCGUGGGUCAUAAGUGCCGAGGACCGCAACUCUUGUUGUUGGAAGGGAACUCCAGUCCAAAUAAGGAAGAUGAUAUAGAUGAGGAGAUCGAAGAACCCGCUAUCAAUGAACAAACUGAACCCGAAAUUUCCUUCCAUGCUCUAACUGGAUGGUCAACCCCCAAAACCAUGCGGAUUACAGCUAAGAUUGGGCAGCAUGAGGUGGUUGUCCUCAUUGAUAGUGGUUCCACACACAACUUUAUUAGUGAGAAAGUAGCCGACAUGUUGCACUUAUCUGUGGUUCCAACCAAGCCAUUCACUGUCAAGGUGGCAAACGGAACACCAUUGAAGUGCCAAGGGAGGUUUGAGCACGUGCAUGUGAUACUUCAGGGUAUUCCUUUCUCUCUUACUCUCUACUCUUUACCACUAACCGGGUUGGACUUGGUGCUAGGCGUACAAUGGUUAGAACAAUUGGGAACAGUUGUAUGCAAUUGGAAGAAACUGACAAUGGAGUUUCAAUGGGAAAAUCAAACACAUAAGCUACAAGGGACAAAUACACAAACCAUUCAAGUUGCAUCAUUGAAAGCUGUUUCAAAAGAAUUACGACAAGGAAGUUCUAUGUUCACAAUUUGCCUGCAAUCAACAUCAAAUGAAGUACAACAAGCUAUCCAUCUAGACAUGCAACAAUUGAUUAAAGCAUUCGAGGACAUUUUUCAAAAGCCAAAUCAACUACCUCCAGCAAGAGAGAUUGACCACCGAAUUACUUUGAAAGAAGGAACCGAGCCCGUCAACGUGAGACCCUACAGGUAUGCCUAUUUUCAAAAAGCUGAAAUUGAAAAACAAGUUUGUGACAUGUUAAAAUUGGGGCUUAUAAAAGCAAGCACUAGUCUUUUUUCAUCUCCUGUUUUAUUGGUUAAAAAGAAAGAUGGAACGUGGCGUUUUUGUACUGACUAUAGAGCACUUAAUGCCGUAACCAUCAAAGACCGAUUUCCAAUUCCUACAGUUGAUGAUAUGCUAGAUGAGCUCCAUGGGGCAACUUACUUUACUAAACUCGAUCUCAGAGCUGGCUACCAUUAUGUACGGGUACAUCCUCCAGAUAUUCCUAAAACUGCUUUCCGUACUCACAAUGGUCAUUACGAAUAUUUGGUCAUGCCUUUUGGUCUUUCUAAUGCACCAUCUACCUUUCAAGCAAUUAUGAAUUCUAUAUUCCGCCCAUAUCUCGGCAAAUUUGUGUUAGUAUUUUUUGAUGACAUUUUGAUUUAUAGCCCCAAUUGGAACAUGCAUCUUGAACAUGUUAAACAAGCUUUUGAAAUAUUAAGGCAACACCAAUUCUUUGUUAAAAUCAGCAAGUGUGCAUUCGGCCAGCUAGAGUUGGAGUAUUUAGGUCAUAUUGUGACUCUGUAAGGCGUACAAGUAGAUUAAGGAAAAAUUAAAGCAAUGCUAAAUUGGCCAAGGCCUACUAAUAUUUCUGAAUUGCGUGGGUUCUUAGGCCUAACAGGUUACUAUAGGAAGUUUGUUAGUAACUAUGACAUCAUUGCUCGGGCCUUUACCAAUUUGUUGAAGAAAGGAAAAUUCGCGUGGACAAAGGAUGCCGAAACAGCCUUCCAAGAACUCAAACAGGCUAUGACUUCAACCCCUACACUUGCUAUGCCUAAUUUUAAUGAACCUUUUGUCAUUGAAUUUGAUGCUUCAGGAGAUGGGAUUGGUGUCGUUCUAACCCAGCAAGGAAAACCAAUAGCCUUCAUGAGCCGCGCCUUAGGAGUGUCCAAACGAUCAUGGUCCAUCUAUGCUCGCGAAAUGUUGGCCAUUGUUCACGCCAUCCAAACUUGGCGACCAUAUUUGUUAGGACGAAAGUUCUAUAUCCAAACAGAUCAAAGAAGCCUCAAAUACUUGCUAGAGCAACGAAUAACAACACCGUAGCAGCAAGAAUGGGUGGCAAAAUUGCUGGGAUAUGACUAUGAAAUCACUUAUAAACCAGGACGGGAGAACUCAGCAGCAGAUGCACUAUCAAGAGUGGUAAGCAGUCCUAGUCUUAAUGCUUUAUUUGUUCCACAAGCUCCUUUAUGGGAUGAAAUCAAAGCAGAGGCUAUCAAACAUCCAUACAUGGACAAAAUUGACAAAUUGGCAAAUUGGCAACGGACAGUCCAGGUGCUCCUUACACAUGGCGAAAUGGGCUAGUGUGCUAUAAAAAUCGAGUGGUGAUACCCCCAAACUCUCCGAUAAUCAAGCAAUUAUUGCGAGAAUUCCAUGAUUCUCCAAUCGGGGGCCAUUCAGGGGUGUUACGGACAUAUAAAAGGCUUGCACAACAAUUCUAUUGGCCAUCAAUGUUUCAAAUAGUGCAGGACUAUGUCUCUUCUUAUGAUGUAUGCCAACGAAUUAAAUCUGAAACUCUUGCGCGAGCGGGACUCUUACAACCAUUGCCCAUUCCAUGUCUAGUAUGGGAUGACAUUACAAUGGAUUUUAUAGAGGGGCUGCCAACUUCCAACGGCAAGAAUACAAUCCUUGUGGUGGUAGAUCGCUUGAGUAAAUCAGCACAUUUUUUGGCCUUAGCCCAUCCUUUCACCGCAAAAAUGGUAGUUGAAAAAUUCGUUGAGGGAGUAGUCAAACUUCACGGCAUGCCCAAAUCCAUCAUUAGUGAUCGGGAUCCAGUGUUUAUGAGCCAAUUUUGGCAAGAGUUCUUCAAGUUAUCAGGCACACAAUUGAAAAUGAGUUCUUCCUACCACCCGCAAACGGAUGGGCAGUCCGAAGUCGUCAACCGAUGUGUCGAACAAUAUCUUCGCUGCUAUGCCCAUCACCACCCACGGAAAUGGAGCUUCUUUCUUCCAUGGGCAGAAUUUUGGUACAACACAACUUACCACGCAUCAACAGGAAUGACACCAUUUCAAGCUUUGUAUGGGCGUCUACCCCCAACCAUUCCACACUAUCUGAUGGGCACAACUCCAGUUCAUGCAGUCGACCAAAAUCUCACCUCCAGAGAUGCAAUAUUACGCCAACUCAAGACCAAUUUACAUGCUGCUACCAAUCGCAUGAAACAGGUGGCUGACUCCAAACGGCGAAAUAUUGAGUAUCAAGUAGGCGACAUGGUCUUCCUUAAGCUACAACCGUAUCGGCAGCAAUCGGUAUUUUGUAGAGCUUCUCAGAAAUUGGCAAGUCGAUUCUAUGGUCCUUAUCAAAUAGAACAAUGAAUUGGCAAGGUAGCAUAUAAAUUAAACCUCCCAGAAGGAUCCAAAAUUCAUCCCAUUUUCCAUGUUUCACUGCUUAAAAAGAAAUUGGGUGAGCCUAACAAUACUACGGUUGAAUUGCCUCUUACUGAUGAUGAAGGAGAAAUUGUCCUAGAACCUGAAGGAAUCUUAGAUACACACUGGGUUAAGAAAGGAUCACGCAUUUUUGAAGAAAGUCUGGUUAAAUGGAAACGACUACCACUAGACGAUGCUACGUGGGAGGAUACUAAAAUGUUGCGGGAUCGAUUCAUUAAUGUGAACCUUGAGGACAAGGUUCCAGUGCAAGACAGGGGUAUUGAUGAGCCAAGAAGAUCGCAACGUGUUCCUAAGAAAAACCCAAGGUUCAUAACAUGAUAAACAUGUAGAGCAAGUAGGAUGAUCGUGCAAGGAGCUGUUAGAGAUUAAUUGUUGGCAUAGUUCUGUUAGAAGACUUGGUCUGAUGUCUGUUAGCUAUUAUUAUGCUAUUUGAAUAAGUAUUAGCUAUUUAUUUGCUAAUAAUGGUUGAGUCCUUAUUUUCAGUAGUUAUGGUCAUGAGAGUAGGAGAAGGUGGGUUUUUCCUUGUAUAUUUAAACUAUUUCAGUAUGCAGCAAUAAAGGGGAGUUCAUUCAAAAUCCAAAUAUUAUGGCUCGUUCUUGCCCUAAGAAGAAUUUUGUUUGCUGAUUAUAUUAGCUUUGAUUGGGACCUAUCACCAUGACAUACAUGAAAUUAGAAUUGCAAUUUGAGCAAGUUGAACCCAAUCCAACCUGAAAAUGCAAUUUCUGAUUAAGAAAUCUCAAUCAGACUUGAACCCUAUCCGUAUUUAACUAAUUCUAAGUUGAACAUUUGUCUAAUAAGGUGCCUGUGUCGAAACAAUUUUGUAGGAGAAAAUGGGUGAUCGCUUACCAUGAAUGCUUGAGUGCAUUGUUUGAGGACAAUUAUUGUUACUGAGUUGUGUGCAGGCUGCCAUUAUAUUGUAGUCAGCAAUUGUUAUAAGAUGAAUGAUCAUGUUUUGUUUAUGCAUGUGAUGGUCUUCAAAAUGCAGGAUAAGCAUUCCCGGAAGGGUCUUCAAGCGAUGGUCCAGAGGAGAAAGAAGUUAUUGAAGUAUCUCCGUAGAACUGACUGGGAUUCCUACUGCCUUGUUCUUUCUAAGCUUGGUCUCCGAGACAAUCCGAAUUACAAAAACUAGAUGAAAUGUAUUCAUCUCUGUUUUGACAUGCUAAUGAUGCUUUAUUUAGUGAUAUAUCAGGUUUUUUGUUUUGUAUCUGGUACUCACAAUUUUUCAACUAGAUGUCACUUCUGAUUCUCCUUUAAUUUAAAGUCAUAAUAAUAACAGCUCCUUGGUACUAUUUGCUAGAAGGAAAGACAAUCUGUCUGUUUCUUAGUUGAAUGGGGCACAACACAGGACCUUUGUUACAUAGUCCUGAUAACUGAUGGAUCCGAUUUAACUUUUUUGUGGAGUUACGACCCUGACAGCCCAAGAGGAGGGAGGAGGGAGGAGGGAGGAGGGAGGAGACAGAGGGGAAGUGUGAACUGUGCUGUUGCACCUUAUUUGUGUUCCUUCUACUUCCAGGUGUUGUCAUGAAAUGGAAUCAGAAGUUGGAAUUCAAGAAGACUUGGUUAAAUGGUAAAAAAAACAGGCUGCUGUUGAGCAUCGUGCUUGAAGCUUGGAGAAUAGAGGAACCUUCUCUUGCUCUUCCAUCUCCUACUUCACACAUUUAUUCCAAGAAUAUAUCAUCUGCUGCUUGCCAAUCCUAACCAGGAAAAAACGAAAGAUUUUUAUCCUUAUGUUUUAAUAUUGAUGUCACUACAUUAUUCUUCUUCAUAUCUUUGUUGAACAACUUUUGAAACCAAUUGAGCAUACCCUUGAUCGGUUGAAACUUUUUUUGCUCAAAAGCCCUUCUUCUUUAAAUUCAAACCUUUUUAAUACUUACGCAACAACGUUAAAUUCUUUUAUAAAACAAGUUUGAGAGGUUUUUGCCUAAGUGUUGGAUUAGAACUUGAAUUAAGAAAACAUAAUCUUUAGAGUUCAAAAUAAGUAUAUGAUUAAAUGAUGCAUGAAUAGAUUUAAAGACCUAAGUGCACCCAAGUAUUUACCUUACAUAAUGUUCCUAAGCUUAAAAGGUCUUCAUGCUCACUUGAUCUUACACACCUUUGAUCCUUUGAUGAACAACUUGAUUUUCCAAUUGAAUUUUGCAAAUACUACUUGAAAAUCAUCUUAAUUUUAAACUCAAUAGUGAAAAACAUGAUUUGUUAUCAUCAAAACUCAUUUAGGAGAUCCCUUUGACUAACAGAAGUUAAUAGUGAAAUAAAUUUAUCGAGUCAUAAAGAUGAGAAAUGAAUAUAAUUAAUUCAUACUUGAAUAGAAACCGUGAGUGAACUCAUGUUAAGAAUGAGUCAAAAUAAGUAUGACCAAAUAUGAGAGAGAUUAUUUUUACAAAUUUAAGGUUAUUUCAUCCAUUUUAAUCAAAUCAUCCUUUAAUAAAUAUGACUCCAAGACUAAAAAACAAAGGAACCUGGCAAACCCCAAAUUAUUGGAAAGACAAUUGCACCCAAUUGGGCAUAAAAGAUAAAUAAUUUAACUCAAGAAAAAGUGAAAGUGAAAAUGAGGGACAUGAAGGCAAAAAAGAAUCAUUGAUUAAUAAUAUAUUUUAUUUAAUUUUAUAACCUUUUACAACUUGUUUUUAUGACGUAUAAUUAAUAUUUUAUAGCAUGCUCUUGUUUGUAUGUCUUAAACUCAACCUACUCAAAUCUUAAGCCUUCACCCCCAAACCAAAAAUUAAUUAAAAAUGAUGAGAUUUUUUACUAAAAAUUAUCCAUUAUAUAGUAACAUGAGGAUCACAUGUUUACUAAAACUAUAACUCUAAAGCUAGAUAUAAACUUCCUUAAUUUGACUAAUUAAAUAGUAUAAUAUAACAUAAUUAUAUAGUUUAGUUAUAAAUAAGUUAUUAUUUAAUUAAAUCUCAAAUUCAAUGUGAUUAUAACACAUAUUAAAAAAAAUGUUUAAUAAAAUUUUAAAUAAAAAAUUGAAAAUUGAAAAAAAUUUAAUUUGAUUAGAAAAAUUAUAGUGAAAUGAAAAUUUUUACAUACACAAAAAGAAUGAAAAAUAAAUUAAGAUAAUAUAGGUAUGAAGAAAAAAAAAUGAUGAAGCUAAAAUAAAAAAGGAAAAAAAAAAGUAGGAGUUUCAAGUAGGCUUUAUAAAAUAUUAUAUAUUUUUAAAAUUUAUUUAAAAUUUUAAAAAAAUAAAUCCUUGAGAGUUAGUAUUAACUUUUUUUUUCAAUAACAUUCAAAUGAAAUUAUUUUUUAUUUUUGAAAUUAAAAAUUAAAUUCAUAUUUUUUUCACUGCUACCUCCGGGUUAUGUACGCCGCUUUAGUCAAGAUCUCAUUGCAACCUAUAACAAGCUAAGCACUGAGUCAAGUCAAUUGGGUCCCCCAUCGCAAUUACCCAAAUGAGAUUGUAUGGAAUCACACUUUCAUCUUGAGUGAAAGAAGAAGCCUUCCUUGACCGAUUCACUCCUUCAGCAAAUGAAUUGCAUGGAAACGGGAUAAAUGUCUGAUGCAAAGUAAGGUAAAAUAUAGAGCUAGACUUAGAAUUUUAGGUGUCUGCUCAGAAAAAAACCAAUGAAAUCCCAGGUUUUGAACUUCAAAACUGAAGAAAAGAAAGUACAAUUUAUUCAAAACUUUUAGGCUCCACUCAUAACAUGGAAAAUUUGACAAAAAGAAAUAGGAUAGACGGUCAGCAAGCGGCUAAGUUGAGGCCGCCCACCAUAAUUGACAAAAUGAAACCAUAUGGAAAACGGAGGUAAGUCAGCAGGUCAAGUGGGCCCACCUAGUCUACUACAUUCAAUUGUAUGGUAAGUGGAAAUUCAAACUGAAAUUUCCCGGAAAGUGAUUUCCCAUUUGCCCGGAAAUUGCCUUGAAACUGGGAACUUAGCUGGAUUUAAAAGCAACAAACCUGGUUGUCAGUUGAUCAGCAACAACUGUGAAAACAAUUAAUGGCUGAAAGUAUUGUCACGUUUUUUCUAGAGAAGUUAACUGACCUGCUUUCCCAGGAAGCAUUUCUACUCAGCAGAGUAGAAGAGCAGGUGAAGCUGUUGAGUAACGAGCUCGAAUGGAUGCGCCUUUUUCUCAAAGACGCGGAUGCGAAGCGCAGAUAUGAUCCAAGAAUCAAGCUCUGGGUGAGUCAGAUCAGGGACGUAACCUAUGACGCCGAAGAUGUCAUCGACAGGUUCAUGUUCGAGAUGAAUCACCAACAGCAAGGAAGUCUCAAAUGCCUCAAGUUCCUUAAGUUACGAUUUGUUCACAAGCUCGAGUCUCGAAUCAGAGAGAUCAAUAUCAAGAUUGAGAAGAUCAUGGCUAACAAAUCAAGGUACGGUGUCGAAACCUUACCAGCUGCAAGCUCGUCCAACGAAGUUGUGCCACAUAAAGAGAGGAGGGCUCCGAUUGUGGAAGAAGUAAACGUGGUGGGAAUUCAAGAGGAUGCAAAAAGCGUUAAGCAAAAUCUGCUUAAUGGAGAGAUGCGGAGAGCUGUGGUGUCCAUCGUGGGCAUGGGUGGCUUGGGAAAGACUACCCUGGCUAAGAAAGUCUAUAAUGAUAAUGAUGUCCGGCAAUGCUUUGAUUGUCAUGCUUGGAUUUAUGUCUCUCAAGAGUAUACAAUCAGGGAGCUUUUGCUAGGCGUUGCUGUUUGUGUUAGGAUUCUCUCCGAAGAGGAAAGGAGUAAAAUGAACGAGAGCGAUUUGGGGAAUAGUCUUCGUGAUUACCUGACUACCAGGAAGUACUUGAUAGUUAUGGAUGAUAUGUGGAGAAAUGAAGCUUGGGAUAGGUUGGGCUUGUAUUUUCCUGACUCGGUGAAUGGCAGCAGAGUGUUGAUCACCUCACGCAAUAAAGAGAUUGGUCUUUAUGCUGAUCCACAAACCAUUCCCCAUGAACUUUCUUUUCUGACUGAAGAAGAGAGUUGGGAGCUCUUUCUCAAGAAAAUUUUUCUGGCUGGGAGUGCAAAUGCUGUUUGCCCAGAGAAUUGGAAGAGUUGGGAAAGAAAAUUGUAGCAAAUUGUGGGGGUUUGCCCCUUGCAAUUGUGGUCUUGGGAGGCCUUCUAUCAAGAAAAGAAAAGACACCGCUCUCCUGGCAAAAAGUACUGGACAGCCUAACUUGGCACCUAAAUCAAGGUCCAGACUCAUGUUUGGGGGUCCUUGCUUUAAGCUACAAUGAUAUGCCGUAUUACUUGAAGUCCUGUUUCCUUUACUGUGGUCUUUUCCCAGAAGACUCAGAAAUCAGGACAGAUAAGUUGAUCCGCUUGUGGGUUGCAGAAGGGUUUAUACAAAGAAGAGGAGAAGAAAUAGCGGAAGACGUCACGGAAGAUCACUUACAGGAAUUGGUACAUAGAAGCAUGAUUCAAGUGGCUGCCAGGAGUUUCGAUGGAAGAGUGAUGUCCUGUCGCAUGCACGAUCUGCUUCGAGACCUUGCCAUUUCUGAGGCCAAAGAUACAAAUUUUUUUGAGGGAUAUGAAAGCAUUGAUUCUACAUCCCCUGUUAGUGUUCGUCGACUAACCAUUCAUCAAGGUAAGAAGACUAAUUCUAAACACUUGCAUACUUCACGUAGUCUCCGAUCUUUCAUUUGUUUUUCUGUAUGCUUCCAAGAAAACAUUUUGAGAUCUUUACACAGGCGUGUCAAAUUGCUCACUGUACUGGACCUAGAACGCAUGCCUAUCAGUACCUUCCCAGAAGCCAUAGGAGAACUUAUCCACCUUAAGUACUUGUGCUUAAGGGGAACCUGCAUAAAAAGUCUUCCAUCGUCCAUAGGUCGUCUUACUAAUCUACAAACCCUAGACUUUCGAGGCACUUUAAUUGAAAUAAUUCCCUCUACCAUUUGGAAAUUGCACCAUUUGAGACAUCUAUACGGUCAUGGUGUGGUUUCAAGCCAGUCAGUGAUAGAUAAGUGCAGGAAUGGUCCUUUGAGUGUUGGCCACCUAACAAACCUCCAAUCGUUAGGUUUAAGAGCAGGCAGUUGGUGCUGUGGUGAAGGCUUGGGAAAAUUAAUUGAGCUUAGAGAACUGACAAUUGCAUGGACCGAAAUCGCACAAACAAAGAACCAGGGAUUUUCCGAGUCAGUAAAAAAGCUAACUGCUCUUCAAUCCUUGUGUUUGUAUCCUCGUAUAGGAGAGAAUUUUAACCAUGCCGCACCUCAUGCCUUUCUCAGACCACACUUACCUUUACCAUCUAAGUUUAAGAGGAAGGCUCGAAAGGUUCCCUGAUGAAAUUGAAUUCUACCCUCCAAACCUCGUCUCCUUGGAAUUGGAAUGUUGGAAU
rnacentral:lncRNA from 1 species